rnacentral:lncRNA from 1 species
AACCCAACACUUUAAUAUCAAAGCACAAAAGUAAACCCCUUAAACCCACAGCUAUAUAUUAAUUAAGAAGGUUUUUUUUUUUUAAUUAAGCUGCCAAAUUCCUAAUGGCCUAAACAACUUUAGCAGUCUCCUCUAUGAGCAGGCGCAUGUUAGGCAAAAACUUUAAGUAAUCACUUAAAAUCAAACCAUUUGUCUCUAAUAAUAAUUGAACAAAAAAUAAUUGCACAAUGUGGUUGCCAUAAUUAAAGGGUUGCUUUUUAUUCAUUGCUCAUUUAACCAAGCCACUAAGAUGCAUUUAUUUGGUAACAAGAAAUCUUAAGAAUCUUUCUCUUUUUAUUUAAACCAUGGAUUAAGUCUUUGAAAUGCUAAGUAUGAAGCAAAUUACAUUUAUAUCUUAUACAAAGGGGUUUCAUAUUUCAAUCUCCACCAUUCUUUAGUUUUAUCUUUUUGGGAAAAAAAAGUCUUUUUGUUGGUUUUUUUUUAUGUAAUUAAAGGCGUACAUGAUUGGGUCAAAUUUAAAUUGGGUUCAUAUACAAUAUCAAUAUUAUAUAUACUUAUUUAAGUUUAACUUGAAACAGUCGAUUGAGUGGGUAUUGUUGUCAAUGUAAGAGGACGUGGGUUUGAGUGUGUUGAAAUGCAUUAUCCUUCUAUUUAUAUGUUGAAGUGGGGCUAUGGGUAGUUCUAAGCAUUAUGUCAAAAAAAUCAAAUAUGAUUAGAAGGACAAAACCUAUAAAAAAAGUCCAUGUAAAAAUUAAAGAAAUGAAUACAUACAUUAAUUUUCAUAUUGGAUUAAUACAAUUGUUUCUGUAUGCAAUAUACUAACAUAAAUGGUAAUAAUUCGAUAACAUUGUCAAUGAUUUGUGAAAAUUGAAUUAAAUCAAAAUUUCAUGUAUAAAAUUGUACAAAAUCGAAGUUCACGUAUGAUAUUACACAUUAGAUUAAAGUUUAUUAAUAGUUUUCAUAUUUAUCCCUAAAUUUUGUUUAAAUUUGUCUAUAUUUAUAAAUGACUAAUCCAAGCCUAUUUAAAAUUAUUCAUUUUAAUAUAUAUUUUAUAUAUUUGUAUAUUUUUUAUUAAAAUUUUAACAAUAAACAAGUUAUUUGCUUAACAAAUUUUUAAUUUUAUAUUAUAAUAUUAUAUUUAUUUUUUAUAUAAUACAAAUUACAUUAUGUAUAAAAAAUAAAAUAAAACCAAUAUAUCAUAAAAUUGAAAAAUUAGUUGAAUUUGAAUGGACUUAAAUUUGAAUAUUUGAACUUAAACCUAAUCUAUAUUUAAAACGAGCCAGGUUUUUUAUCCAAAUAUAUUUUUUAAAUUGAAUACUUUUGUACAAAUCUUAACAUAACAAUAUUUAAAUGAAUAGCUAUCUCUUUAACAAAUGUAGUUGUAAUGUAUAAAAAAUCAUAUUAAAAAUUUCACUCAAAAAAAUUAAAAAUUUUGAGUUUGUUUAUAUUAUUUCUAGGGAAAUUAUUAGUAUAUUGCGAGUGAAGUUUUUAAAUUCUAAAAUAUCAUAAAGUUAAUAAAAUAUUUAAAAAAUAUUUUAAAAAAGAGACACAUGUUAUAUUUUUUAAUCUGUGAAAUAAAAAAAAAUGUACUGUCAAUGUGUUAAAUACUUCUCUUAUUUCUGUACAGUCCUUAAAAUUUUUAACUAAAUUAAUGUUUUAAAUUAAUUGAGUAUUAAUUCAAUUAGAAAUAUAUAAAAAAUCAUUUUAUAUACAAAGUAAUUUAUAUUAUUAGGUGAUUUUUUUAUAUUUAUGUAUAAAAUUAAUAAAAAUUCACGGAUAUAUUUUUGAACUUCCAACAUUACUAUUUCGAGUAAAACUUUACUCAAAAUUUACAUAAUAUUUUAAUAAAUAUAUUUUUUAUUGUUAUUUAAUUCAACAAAAAUUAAAAAAAGGGGCCAAAAUAAUGGGAGCAUAAGCUUCCCAUGAACAAGAUUUUUGUUCUCUUUGUCGAACUCUCUUAGAUUGCUGAUAUUGUCGGCACUGAUUUUUUGUUCUUCGUAUUUAUUUCAUAAAAAAAAAGACAAUAAACAACAAAUAAAAUAAAAUGUCAAUCAAUCUGGUUAAUAAGAGUCAAAAUCCAGCACUAAAACAUAUGAAAAAAGGCAUCCCACGUGAUUAAGAAUUACCUACUUUAUUUAAUUCUCAUUUUAAUUAUCAAUAUUCUUUUUCUUCUUCAAAUCUUGAACCUACAAAUCUUCUUCUUCACGAUCCAAUUCACAUUCCCAUUUUUCUUUUUAAACUUUAAAUCUAAAUAAAUAAUAAACGAAAACAAAGGGGCCAAAACAAUAAAAGAAAAUUUUCAAAAGAAAGAAAAAAAAAAAGUUCUUGGCUAUUUAGUUUUGGGUUGUUACUUGAUUACUAGUUUUGUUUUUAAAGGUACAAUCUUUAAUUAAAGAAGGGCUUUGUUUGAAAAGAAACAGAGAUGGGUGGUGUUGUUGCUGUCGAUGGCUUGUUGUCUCUUUGCUUUUUUUCUCUUUGGAAAAACAAAAGGUGAGCCUUUUUUUGACUGAUAAACUUGAGAUGGAAUUCAUUAUACUGUCAUUUCUUUUGUAGAGUUUUUUGAUUGUUCAUUGCUUGAAUUUCUACAUUUUUUUCUGGGUAAUUUUAUUGUCGCAUUGUCUAUAAUCUAUAAUUGAGAAAUUUGAUUGGCUUUUUUAUGAGAAUUUUAAAAUGAGGUUAGUGAAAUAUUGGUGGGUUUUUCAUAUUAUUUAAUAAUCGUUUGUUUUAUGUGGCAAAAAUCUUGAAAUUUACUGUUUUUGGAUUGUAAUUUUUGCACUGAUCAUCAUAUUGUAUCAUGUAACCUAGUUAUGAAAUUUGUGUAUUCUUUGGAUCUUGUAUUUAAGUUCUGUUGAUGUUUUCUUUUUUGGAUUCUUAUGGCUAUUUUGUUGCCCUGCUUGAAGAUCUUGGAUAGUGGUGAAACACUAUGAGGAGCAACAUAAGGAUUAAAAAGCCGAGACGAGGCGGAGUUUGGCGGGAUUUGGGGCAGAAAAUGAAGUGUUUAUGCGCCGGAGAGAAAUUAAUCAAAGUAGAACAGAUGAUACCUCCAUCAGAAUCCCUUGCCGUAGAAGAUCAUUCACUGUGUGGUCAUUCUUCUAAAUUCAGUAAUGGUGAGAACAAACCAGAUACCGGCAACAUAGAAGAAGCUGAAUUGUCACUGCGUGAGAGUAGUUCACUGAAUUACGAGGUUUGCUUCUUCAUUUCUUUCUGGUUAAGUUAAACAUUCGGAAUAAGUUUGUUGUUUAUAAGUCCUUGGUGGUGGCACAUUGGUUUUCCUAUACAUCUAUCGAAACUAACCCAAUGGCUUCUCGAAUCUGGUUUUCGGUACAUUUUAGGUCGAUUCAUGCAUUUAUUAAGGAGUUUUCUGAUCUUCUCAUUCUGUUCUAGGAACUUUCAUGCGGUAUAAAUAUGUAUUGUUUAGGCUUCUAGUAGUAGUUUAACUUUAAAUGCGUGUGAUAUAUGUUGUCUCUCUGACUGGUAACCCGAUUAACAGUUAGGACGGUUAUAAUUAUGGUCAUUCCUGCCUUUGCGUUUAUCGGUUUUAUUUACUUUUCUUGCAAGCUAAGGUGUCUUCGCUAUGCAGGAAGCUAGAGCAUUGCUAGGAAGAAUCGAAUAUCAGAAAGGAAAUAUUGAAGCUGCACUACAUGUGUUUGAAGGAAUAGAUAUCGCCGCAAUAAUUCCCAAAAUGAAACUCAGCCUUACUCGAAAAGUUGAAAGGCGUAAGAGACAAUCUCAUGAUUAUGCUCCUCCCCCAAUGUCUGUUCAUACCAUUAGUUUACUGCUAGAAGCAAUCUUUCUCAAAGCACAAUCAUUGCAACAUCUCCAAAGGUUUCGAGGUAAGGGUAAUGAUUUAUGUAUUUGUGCACCGAUCUUACAUUGGCUUUGUUUGUUUUGUUAUAUUUGUGAUCAUUCUUGCAGAAGCUGCUCAAACCUGUAAAGUUAUUCUGGACGUAACAGAAUCUUCGUUACCGGAUGGCUUGCCGGAAAACUUUGGUGCCGACUGUAAAUUGCAGGAGACUCUAAACAAGGCAGUUGAGUUGCUUCCGGAGUUAUGGAAAUUAAGUGAUUCUCCAUUUGAAGCAAUCUUGUCUUACAGGUGGGCGCUUCUUCAUAUAUGGAAUCUUGACGUGGAAACUACUGCAAGGAUUCAAAAACAUUUUGCCGUUUUUCUCCUGUAUUGCGGAGAUGAAGCUUGCCCCCCAAACCUCCGCUCGCAAAUGGGCAGUUCAUUUGUCCCAAGGAAUAACAUAGAGGAGGCUAUACUGCUCUUAAUGAUUCUAUUAAGAAAAGUUGCUCUAAAAAGAAUCGAAUGGGAUCCAUCGAUUUUGGAUCAUCUAUCUUUUGCUCUCUCCGUAUGCGGUGAUUUAAGGGCUUUGGCUAAGCAAAUAGAAGAACUGCUUCCGGGGGUAAUUAAUCGCAAAGAAAGAUACCGUAUUCUAUCUCUCUGUUACCAUGGAGCAGGUGAAGAUUCGGCUGCUUUGAUUCUACUCCGAAAAUUGUUGAACAGUAACGAGGAUCCACGUUGUGUUCCAGGAUUGAUGAUGGCAUCAAGAAUUUGCGGGGAAAAACCUAUUCUUGCGGAAGAAGGGAUCAGUUUUGCUCAUAGAGCCCUUGAAAGCCUGGAGGAAGAAUGCAAUGAAUUGGAAGGUACCAGUAACUUUUUAUUGGGUGUGGCUUGUUCAAUGCAUUCGAAGUCCGUCUUAUCCGAUUUUGAAAGGGUUGCAAUACAGUCCGAGGCCCUCCAGGCUUUGGAAAGUGCUUGGAAAAUCACAAACAUGAAAGAUCCCAGUAUUCUUUAUCAUCUUAGCCUGGAAAAUGCCGAGCAGAGAAAGCUGGGAGCUGCACUUUAUUAUGCAAAGUCUUUGUUAAAACUAGAAGGUGGUUCUAACAUUAAGGGAUGGCUGUUAUUGGCUCGUAUAUUGUCAGCUCAAAAACGUUUCGUGGAUGGUGAAAUUGUUCUUGAUGCUGCCUUGGAUCAAACUGGGAAAUGGGAUCAAGGAGAAUUGUUGCGCACCAAAGCUAAGCUUCAAAUUGCACGGGGACAACUCAAGAAUGCCGUUGAGACGUAUAGUCAGCUUCUUGCCCUUCUUCAAGUACAGUGUAAAAGCUUUGUUUUGGGGAAGAAGCUUCAUAAGGUCUGUUACGCGCCUAGCAUUCUUUCUGUUUCCUAUAUUUUAACUGGUUUUGAAAUGGCCUAUUAGCGUACGAAUGAGGGAAGCUACGAUUGCCAGUUUUUAAACUUAUUAUGUCCAUUUCAACUUACUAAAAGCUCUUUAUGUUCUUAGAACAUUAAACCCAAGUUUGCAUUGUAUAAUGCCUCUUUUUUUCUGUCAUGUUUCGGGUGAAAAUAUUUUCAGGGAAACAACCUUUAUAGCAACUAAUCUUUUUCAAAUAAUUGUGUACAGGAUCAUAGAUACUCUUUGACAAGUUUCGAACAAGAAAUAUGGCAUGAUCUAGCAUAUCUCUACAUAAGCUUGUCACAAUGGAGAGAUGCCGAGAUUUGUCUUUCAAAAUCAAAAGCUAUAAGUUCUUACUCCGCCGUUCGAUUUCAUGCCACUGGUAACUUUAUAAACUUCCCUAAGAUUUUUAUUCUAUUGGUAUAGAUAGUUAAUUCUAGAGAUUUUAUUUUCCAGGUGUACUGUAUGAGAGAAAAGGCUUGCUAAAAGAAGCUAUGGAGGCGUUUCGGACUGCGCUGGACAUCGAUCCGGAUCAUGUCCCGAGCAUGAUAUCUGCUGCUGCUGUGCUCAGAAGAGUCGGUGGCCAAUGCAAUGCGGUCAUAAAAAGCUUGCUGAUGAACGCUCUUCGGGUCGAUCAAAUGAAUGGGUUGGCAUGGUAUAAUCUUGGUUUGCUUCAUAAAACUGAAGAAGUUGGUUCAUCAAUGGAAGAAGCGGCUGAAUGUUUUGAGAUUGCUGCCAUUCUUGAAGAGUCAGCUCCUAUUGAGCCAUUCAGAUAAUUUUGACAGCUAUCCAUUGUUGGUAAAAGUAUCGUGAAGGUCCUUGUACUAAGAGUCGAAUUGCAUUUUGCCCCCUCUGUUCAAUAAAUAGGCAAACUAGUUCCUGUACAUUAUAUUAAAGAUCAAAUUGGUUAUUUUUGUUAAAAAUUUAUCCUUUUGUACUGUUAAAAAUGCGUGUACCUCGUGUUGACGUACAAGAAUUAUUUUUUAACAGCAAAAAUGGAUGAAACUUUUAACAUAAAGACUAGUUUACUCUUUGAUCUAAUAUACAUAGAGCAAUUUACUCAUUUUUUGAGUAGAAAAGUAAAAUGCAAUCUAACUCCAUAAUAUUUUUACCCAUUGUUCUAUGUUGUGCUUAAUUUACUAUCAAAAUAACAUUUUUUUGGUCAUUACAUACGAAAGACUUUAUUUUUUUGAAACCCUCACACUUUUUGGGCUUAUAUUUUUUCGAGUUUAUAUUUUUGUCUAAAUAUUUUUACUUUUUGGAUGGGUCUUUGGGUCGGAUUGGAUGGUCUGUCCUAUGAACAAGUCUAUUUGAGAAUGAUUUAUAAUCUUUCUUUCGAAACAAAAAAAAUCUCCCUUCUAAUAACUUCUUGUAAUUGCCAUUAUUUUCGAAGUUCAUAAUUGGUCUAAAUAUUAGUUCAUUAUGAGGGAACGGUACUUCAAUUGUGAAUUGUUUAAUCUAAGAAUUCGAUAACAUCACCUAUAAAUCACAAACAUUCGAAUUUGCUCGAAUUAAAAAAAAUUCGAUAUUUCGUAUGGAAUAUAUUUCGAACAUUGAAGAAUGAUUUGGCCAAUUAAUAUUUUGAAAUAUCUCUCCAUCAAAUUGAAAUGAUAUUAUCUUUUUUUUUUUUGAAAUACUCUUUUUCUAAUAUGUACCAAUGAAAAGCUCCCUUGAAAAAUGCAUUGCUUUAGAAUGGAGGCAUUAAAAUCCACCUUAACUUUACUAUUUUAAUCGUUUUCUAUGAAUUCAAGUUAUGUCAUACCCUUACUCGCGUUAAGACAUAUGAGAAGUAAAAAAAAACACCUAUAUAGUAAGUUUGUCACUAGCAAGCUGAGAGGUCACUAUUAAGAGAAUGCUAUAAAAUAUGUCAUGACUCUAAAGAAUUUAUUCUUGGCUUUGGAUUUAGUCAUAAAUUGAAUAACUAAAGGUGGUAGGAUUCCGGAUCCAAAUUUAUAGUCUAAACACGAACUCAUAGGAAGUGAAGAAAAUAGCAAGUGAACUCAUAGAAGUCAGAGUCAGGGUGGCUUUUGGUGCUUCCAUUCCAAAGAAAUGCGUUUCUCAAUGGAGUUUUUUAUUAGCAUGUGGAUUGAAAGGACGAAAAAUACCGUCGUUCAAAAGAUUAAUCGUAUCGUUUCAAUUUGACGAGGAGGUAUUUCAAGAAAUUGAUUUACAGGAUAUUGGAAUUGCUUUUCUUUGAUUCAAGUAAAUGCGACUGUUAAUAAUUUUAUGGGCGAUGAGAGACUAUGGGUUAUCGAAGUCUUGACUUAAACAAUUCAGAAUUGAAGUAGCAAUCCAAAUCCCACAUGGCCAGCUGAUUCCAGUUUCCCGUCUGGUUAUGAACUUUGACUUCAUCUUGUCCUUCGAAACAGGAAUCGAAGACCUGUUUGGUAUAACACAAAAACCAAGCGAAUUGAGAGGCUACCAGAGAUAUUAUCACAAGGGCGAUUGAUUCGUUACAAGGAAAGCUUGGUUUCAUUGCCUAUUUGAGAGGCGACAAGAGGUAUCUUCACAUGGGCGAUUUAUUUCUUGUUUUAGAAAAAAAAAAUAGUUGUGUUGUUUUUGAAUAAUGAAUUUAAAUUUACAAAUAGGAUUAGUCAUUUUAAUCGAUUGGGUCUUAACUCGGUUGGUAUCAAUAUUGUUGUCAGACAGGAGGAGGUAAGUUCGAGUGCAUUUAUCCUCUUAUUUACGGAUAAGAAAAGAUUAUGGGUAGUUUUAAACAUUAUAUUUAAAAAAAAAAGUUAAAUCAAUACUAGAAGCCUAAACUAUACCAUUGUAAAUAAUACAUGUCACCAUAUUGACAUAUUAAAACUGUAUGAAAGUUCCUACAAUAGAGUGAGAAGAUAGUAAAACUCCUUAAUAGAGGCAUGAAUUGACCUAAGACAUACCAAAAACUAGAUUUGAGAACCCAUUAUACUAAUUUCGAUAGACAUAGGAAAACUAAUGUGCCACCACCAAGGACUUAUAACCAACAAAUAUAUUUUGAAUGUUUAAAUUAACCGCAAAGCUGAUUGAGUCUUAAUUCGAUUGGCAUGAGUGUUGUUAUCAAUGCAAGAUGAUGCGGGUUUGAUUAUGUUGAAGCACAUUAUCCUCCUAUCUAUGGGAUAGGGGAGGAGCUAUAGGUAAUUAUAGGCAUUGUGUAAAAAAGAGUAGAUAUGAUCAGAGUUUACAAUGAGAUUGUUCAAAAAAAAAACUUAGCCGCAAAGAAUUGAAGAAGCAAACCUCGUACUUUAGUGAACUACUCUCACGCAACAACAAUUCAAUUAAGUUUAUAUUUUAAUCAACCAACUUCAAAAAGCUAUAAAAUGAUUACAAAACUAUUCAAAAGUUUUCAUUUAAGUCACUAAACUAUUCAAAAAAAUUUAUUCAAGUUAUUGGGCUGUAAGGUUUUUUUUUAAAAAAAAUAAAAGUCUGGGUAGUGAGCUCCAAGCAACGACUUAACAGUCGAUAUGGUAGAUCAGUGCCCAUCAACGAAUAGAACAACAUAUCUUAGAAAGUUGUUUAGAUUUUGGUUCACAAAUUUGUGACGUUUAAAAGUUGUUUCAUAAAAAAAAAACUUAUAUUGUAAAAGAAAAAAAGAAUGAGAGUUUUCGAUUGGUGCAAGUAGUACAAACAAAAAAGGCCAUACAACAUCAAUUUUAACGAUCUGAUAAUUUAAAUGAACACUUUCGAAUAGCUUAAUGAUCAUUUUGUAACUUUUUAAAACUAUGUGACCGAAACAUAAAUUUAUUAAUAAUUUAAUAAUAUUUCGCAUAAUUUUAGUUCAAAAUUCUUAAGAUUAGGUGCUAGAGAUUCAAUAUCAUACUUAUUUUGAAAUUGUUUAACAAUUUCUAUAACUAAUACUUUAUUUUAUACAAAACUUUAAUAUUUGUAUGUAUUUUUAAUUAGAUUAGAUUACGUUAUUAUUUGUUUUUUUUUCUUAGGUCUGUGAUUGACCAAGACUUGCACUAAAUGUUGUUUAUUGCAAUGUAAAUUGACCCACCAAAUUAUUGUUGUCAAUCAAAUUAAAGUACAUUGGACUGAUUGUGAAAUUAACUUUGUUGAAAUAUAAAAAUUAAUAGUUACGAUAAUGAUUAUUUUAGGCGUGGUUUAGAUUUGAAUCGCACUAAUUACAUUGUUAUUAAAAUUUUAUCCUUUUUUAUUAAAAAAAUUAUUUUUAAUUAAAAAUUCUCCCAAGUAUAUUGAAUGUAUAAAUACAAAUAAUUUUAGAUUAUAUUAUAAUUACGAUGUAAAUAAAAUAAAAUUUAUAUAAAUGUUAUUAAAUAAAAAGAAAUAAAGAACAAAGAAAAAUAUGGAAAGUAAAAGACAACUUAUUUUAUUGAUUAAUAGAGAUAUUUAAAGUGUUGUUUUAAAAUCUAUAUUUAUAGAUAUAAAAAGUAUACAUGAUAUAAAAUUCUACUUUAAAUAAUCAUUAAAGUCCUGAUAUAUAUCAAACUUAUUUUGAUAUUGAUGGACAUUCACUUAAUAAUAAAAUAUGUAUAGCACUCCCCAUUCGAUGUCUAUUGAUAGAUAAUAUGUCCCGUUAAAACCUUAUUACGAUGAAAAUUUUGUGGGAAAAAAAACUCUUAGUGAAAGAAAAAAUAGUACACUUACCUAUAAUAUGCAUAACAUGUUGUCUUACUAAAAAUCUUAUCAAAAAAAAAUCUAGUGGAACAAAAUCUCGAUUAAGAGAAAAGUAGUACAACAUGUAUUUACUCCCCUCAUAACAACAUCACAUAAUAUAUCAUAUUCUACGUAUUCAAAUAUUAAAUGCUAGCAUUUCAAAUAUAGGCCCGACCCUAAGGGUCAUCUGGAGGUGAGGCCAUCUAGGGCCCAAAGCUGAAAGAGGUCCAAAAUAUUGUUUUCCUGUUUUUAAGGGGCCUAAUUUUUUUUUAACUUUCAAAGCUCAAAAAAAAUUCACCAACUUUUAAGGGGCCCCCCAAAAAAUUUUAGCUUUUAAGGGUCAAAUUUUUUUUUACUAACUUUGAAGGGACCUAAAAAUUUAAUCCUUUAGAAAUUAUAAACUAUAAAAAAUUAAAAUUUCAUCCCGGCCCCCCUAAAAAAAUUUUCUGGCUUCUCCCCUGAUGACAUUCAAAAUUGUUUCAUGAAAAAAAUGAUCAGUAGAAGAGAAGGUGAAAGAGAGCUUUCGACUGGAGUAUGCAGUGCGAACGAAGAAGGCUAUACAGUAACGAUUUUAACAGCCCAAUGAAUUAAAUGAACAAUUUCAAAUAGUUAAAUGGCCAUUUUAUAAUGUUUCAAAGUUGAAUAGCUAAAACAUAAAUUUACCCUAUAAAUCAUCUUAACAAACCAAGUGUGAACACAGCUACAGUGACGUAAAAACGGUUUAAAAAAUUGAUCCAAACAAGACAAGCACAAGGGAUGAAAAUUUUACAACUGCUAAAUAUUAUCUCUAUAAGAAUAGGAGAAAUUAAUUAUUAGGCCAAAAUUAUCACAAAUAUGAAAUUAGUGGCCCAUGAAAAAUAUAAUUGUAAAUGUUAAUAUGUCAGUAUCAUAAUUGCAGACAAAAAUGGUAACUAUAGCUGUUCAAAGUAGGCUGUUCUAAACAUAGUUUAUGUGGUAAAAAAAAAAGAAGAAGAAGGUUUAAAUAUGCCCUCGGACUUGUACUCCUCAGGCUUUUACAAUUUAAUCCCUCUAGUUUUUAUUUAAAAAACUUAAUCCUUUACUUUGAACGGACCUGUACUCUUUAAGCUUGUACAAUUUAAUUCCUCUACUUUUGUUUUUAAAAACUUAAUCCUUUGCUUUAAUUGUUAAUAGAUUUUUUGUUGCAAUAUUUUAAUUCUGGUUUUAAAAUUAAAAUCCAAUUCACAAGGUAUAGUCAAAUUUAACUAAAAAUUCAGUUAAAAAUAUUAAUAAUUGGAGUUUAGUUUUGGCUUAACUACAAAAUUAGUCUCCAAAUUAUACCACUUUCUCACUUAGGUACCUAAAGUUUUUUUAUUUAGAAGUGAUAUUUAAACUAUUAAUUUCGUCUUAUUUUACACACAAAAAAAAAAUGUACAACGUCCAAUAAGGUCGUACACAUUUCACAUUCUUAUUGGCUGGUAUCAUGUUUUAGGGUAAAAUAAGACGAAAUUGAUAGUUGACCAAAAAAACUUAGUUACUUAAACUGAAAAAAAUGGUAUAGUUUGAGGACCAAUUUAGCAUUUAAGCCUUUAAUGUUUAAACCAGACAAGUAAAUGGAUUAAAUUUCGGAUAGUAUUGAGGUUGGAUGCAUCACCAAACAAUAAAAGAAUGAAAAAAGAAAUUGUAUAAAUUGAAUCAUAAAACUAGAAUUUAGUCCUUUAUAAAGGACAAACUUUGGUUAGAUAAAUCUCUUUAACAACCCCAAAAUAAUGUAAAUUAAUAUGAGACCAAUGAAAUGAAAAACUCACUUUUUUUUGCUACAGAAAUCCCAAUCAGUAGCAGCUAUAAAUAAGAGUGUUAAUGAAGAACAACGAAACAAGUACAGAACUAAAUAAAACCCCAUGUCAACUAUUCAAAAGCUUUACAUUUUUGUUUGCCAUUUUAUGUUUCUUAGCUUAAAUCCUUUGAAUACUACCUUUUCUUCAGCAAGAUCACAAGGGGAAGCCCUUAUUCAUUGGAAGAACAGCUUGGUUCACUCUCCAACAUCUGUGGAAUCUUGGUCUGUUGAAAACAUUAACAACCUCUGCAACUGGACUUCAGUUGCCUGCGACGGUGCUGGCAUGGUGUCUGAACUAAACCUGUUGAGUUCAAACAUCAAUGGAACCCUCACCGAGUUAGAUUUCACUUCAUUUGCUAAUCUAACACGGUUUGAUGUCAAAAACAACAGUUUGAAUGGACCGAUACCUGGCGCCAUCGGUAGCCUGUCUAAGCUUGUUUACCUGGAUUUGAGCGACAACUACUUCAAAGGUAACAUACCCUCGGAGCUUGGACGAUUACCAGAGCUUCGAUAUCUCAACCUGUUUAACAACAAUCUCAAUGGUACAAUCACUUACCAAGUUAGCACUCUUCAAAAAUUGUGGUACUUAGACCUUAGCUGUAACAAGUUAGACUCACCUGAUUGGUCCAAGUUCUUAGCUAUGCCAUUGUUAAGACACCUCAGUCUAGCAAACAAUUCACUUACUUUGAGGUUCCCUGGUUUUAUACAAGAUUGUAGGAAUUUGACUUUCCUUGACUUGUCAGUGAACAACCUAACAGGGCCAAUACCAGAGUCGGUUUUCACCAAUUUGGGUCAGCUUCAGUAUCUUAACCUCACAAAUAACUCAUUCCAGGGACCAUUGUCACCAAACAUUUCCAAGCUUUCCAAGCUCAUAAACCUCCGUUUAGGAACCAAUAAGUUAAAUGGUCCAAUCCCUGAGAGUAUUGGGUUCCUUUCAGAUCUUGAAACCUUGGAAUUGUGUGCAAAUUCAUUUGAAAACAAGAUUCCAUCUUCUUUAGGCCAAUUAACAAAGCUCCAGAAACUUGAUCUUAAUUCCAAUAGAUUGAAUUCCACAAUUCCUUUUGAGCUUGGUUCUUGUUCUAAUCUCACUUUUCUGGCCUUAGCUGAGAAUAAACUUACUGGGGAAUUACCAUUGUCAUUGUCUAAUCUCGCCAAAAUAUCUGAGUUGGGGUUGUCUCAUAAUUUACUUUCUGGUGAGAUCCUACCUUCUCUUAUCAGUAACUGGACCAACUUGAUCUCACUGCAACUUCAAUUCAACUCUUUCACUGGAAAGAUACCUCCAGAAAUUGGCUUAUUGAGAAAGCUCAAUCUCCUCUAUUUGUUUAACAACAAACUAUCAGGACCGAUUCCUUCUGAGAUAGGGAGCUUGGAGAAUCUCACACAAUUAGACCUUUCAACAAACAAGCUUUCGGGCCCCAUUCCUCUGACUCUAUGGGGAAUGAAAAACCUGAAACGCUUGCAUCUUUUCCAAAAUAAUCUCAAAGGCACAAUACCAGAAGAUAUUGGUAAUCUGACAUCGAUCUUAUAUUUAAGCCUUGACUCGAACCGACUGUACGGUGAGUUGCCAGAGUCCAUUUCUCAGCUCACUAAUUUACAACGCUUUUCAUUGUUUAGCAAUAAAUUCUCAGGGAGAAUUCCUCAGGAUUUUGGGAGAUACAUUCCUCAGCUGAAUUAUGUUAGCUUUGCCAACAACACUUUCUCUGGGGAAUUGCCUCCUCAACUGUGUAGUGGCUUUGCUCUUGAAAUGUUUACUGUUAAUGGCAACAACUUCACAGGGUCAUUGCCAGCUUGCCUGAGAAACUGCAGUGGAUUAAAUAGAGUUCUUCUUGAUGGGAACCAAUUUACCGGUAGCAUUACGAAUGCAUUUGGAGUUCAUCCGAAUCUUAAAUUUAUUAACCUCAUGGACAAUCAAUUCAUUGGUGAAAUCUCGCCAGAGUGGGGAGAAUGCAAAAUCCUUACCAAUCUACGGAUGGACCGGAAUCGAAUUUCGGGUGAAAUACCGGCUGAGCUCGGAAAGUUGACAGAGUUGCAGUUGUUAACUUUGGACUCAAACAAGUUGACUGGGACCAUUCCAAGUGAGCUUGGGAAUUUGAAGAAGUUGUUUAAACUCAAUUUGAGCAACAAUCAUCUGUCAGGACCGAUACCUCGUAACAUCGGUGGUCUAUUGGAGCUUCAAUUUUUAGAUUUGUCCAAAAACAGCUUGACUGGAACAACACCAAAAGAGCUAGGGAACUGCAACAAGUUGUUGAGCUUGAACUUGAACCACAACAAGUUAUCUGGUGACCUUCCAAGUGAGUUAGGGAGCUUGGAUGUUCUUCAGUAUUCAUUAGACCUCAGCAGCAAUUCAAUUUCAGGGAAAAUUCCACCAGAGUUGGGAAGACUGAUUUCGCUGGAGAAUAUUAAUCUUUCACACAACAAUCUGUCUGGUGAAAUCCCGACCACGUUGCUCCAAAUGAUCAGUCUUUAUUCAUUUGAUUUUUCCUACAACGAGUUGACGGGUUCGGUUCCAAUUGCUGGUCCAUUCCAAAAUGCUUCCCAAGAAGCCUUUGCUGGAAACUCAGGAUUGUGUGCAAAUAUCAAAGGACUUCCUCCUUGUGGUUCAGUUUCAACUAGUAAGAGCUCGAGACAGCGUACUGUAAAGUUGGUUCUUGGUAUUACACUUCCUGUCUUUGGCAUAUUAGCAUCAACUGUGGCUGCAAUUUUCGCUUGUCGUCACCAAAGAAAUCAACUGGAUAAGGAAGCUGAAGGUAGAAAGUUCGAACAUUCUGAGUCAAUAUGGAACAAAAUAGAAAGAAGGUUCAAAUUUGGAGACAUAGUAAAAGCAACAGAGGAUUUCAAUGAAAGGUACUGCAUUGGGAAAGGAGGAUCAGGCAGUGUUUACAUAGCAGAAUUGCCUACAGGUCAAGUAGUUGCAGUUAAAAAACUCAAUAUACCAGACUCCAUUGACAUUGAAGUCAUCAAUCGGAAAAGUUUUGAGAAUGAAAUCCUUAUGCUAACAGAAGUUAGGCAUCGAAACAUCAUCAAGCUAUACGGGUCUUGUUCUCAUAAAGGGCUAAUGUACUUGGUUUAUGAGUAUAUGGAAAGAGGAAGCUUGAAAAGUGCAUUGUAUGGAGAAGAAGGUGGAGUUGAGCUAGGCUGGGCUAAAAGGGUGAAAAUUGUGCAAGGAUUGGCUCACGCGGUUGCUUACCUGCAUCAUGAUUGUUCCCCACCUGUCAUACACCGAGACAUAUCUUUGAGUAAUGUUUUGUUGGAAGCUGGAUUUGAGCCAAAACUUUCAGAUUUCGGAACCGCGAGAUUGUUGGAUCCCAAUUCAUCCAAUUGGACGGCUGUUGUUGGGUCUUAUGGCUACAUGGCUCCAGGUUAACACUAUAUGAUUUCUGCAUUCUUAUUUCACAUACUGUCUGAAUAACACUAAAGUUUUUUCUUUUUGUUUACCUGGAAUGUCUAGAGUUGGCACUCACCAUGCGGCUGACAGAUAAAUGCGAUGUUUAUAGCUUUGGAGUAGUGGCAUUAGAGGUAAUGAUGGGAAGACAUCCAGGGGAACUCUUGAAUCCCCUAUCAUCAUCUUCUUCGACAUUGUCACCUGGAAAUACAGAAAUGUGUUUGAAGGAUUUGCUAGACCAACGACUCCCACCACCUACGGGCAAAAUAGCAGAGGAAGUUGUAUUCAUUGUCAGAAUGGGUUUGGCAUGCACAAAUAUCGAGGCAGAGUCGAGACCAACCAUGCGUUUGUUGGCACAAGAACUAUCAGCACGAACACAGGCUUGCCUGAGUGAACCAUUAGGAAGUAUAACUGUUAGCAAGCUAACCGGAUAUCAGAAGUAGAAAGGAAGUAAAACUAAUAAGAAGGCUAAAAUUUUCUGUGGGAAAAUGAAUGGCCAAAAUCCUAUAUCACAUAGGAAGAUGAGCUUUGUUUCUAAAUGUUUGUACCUAGUCAAUAAGUUGGAUUGUCAGGUUCCAGUUCCCCAAGAAAUUAGCAACCAUAGGCAUCCUUAGGUGGCCUUACAGGCUUGGCAUAGUGGAUCACUGUUUUAAACCCUUUCUGCUAGUAAAUGUCAGCUUUCAUAUUGCAAUUGUGUUUGUCUCUUGGCCAAUAAUUGUUUCGUUUGUCCAAUCUUCUAUUCAUCUGUACCGACAAUGAAAUGAGUCUGAAAUGGUUCCUGCAGAUGAAGGAUCUAUGUCUCAAUGGAAACAUGAGGAAACAGUUGCGAAUUGCAACAUCAGGAAAGAAACUUGAACAUAUUGUUUGAUCAAAAUCCCUCAGAAACAUGUUAAAGGGGAAUAAUAGCAUUGGCAGCACUUGCAAUUCUAGGCCACAGAUCAGCACUCCUUUCUAAUGGGACCAAUGAUAGCAGAUCCUGAAAAACAUCAAAUCAAGUAUCCCAAAUAAGUUCCAAAGCAUCAAAUCAAAGAACAUAUCACUUUCUGCCACUAAACAACAAACCAACAAUGAAGGCAUCGAUGGAACCAGCCUAACAAAUUUCAUUACAUCUAUGGCCACCAAAAAUGCAAAGAAAAACAUAUUUUCAAGUAAUGUUUUGGGAAACCAUACUUAUAGAAAAGAAAACUAACAUUCCCCAGGUUUUAUGUUAACUUCGAAGAAUAGAAAUCAGGUUCUUUAAGUGAAUGGUCACAGUCAUAGAGGCAUGUUCACCUUCUUGGAAUUUAGAAAUACCAGGCAUAUCAACAAGGUUUCACAUCUGAUAUUGCAAGAACAAGUGAACCAGAGAGAUCCCAAUGCCAAAAAAACUUCAUUUGAACAUAGCUCAAAGAAACAUAAACAGCUAAAUUUUAGCAUUUUAACCCCACAAUUCAACAAACACUGUUAUUAUAAUCGAAUAUAAAAAAAUAGAAUGAAGAAGAUGAAUUGGUUGGUAUACCUUUCAUUAUCUUCAAACAGAUGAAUAAAACCCAAAUUAAGCUGUGAAAUACGUAGUAAAAAAGAAUAGCACCAUGCUGUUUAAACCUAGCAAAUUAUCAUUAUUUUAUGCUUCUCAUUAAGUGUAACCAACAAUCAGAACCAGCAACAAAAGGCAAAUCGAAGAAACAAAACUUCAAGAAGAAGGAAACCAUUUGGGCCUUCAAAGUACAUGUAAACGCCGUCGUUUCUACGCCAAGGUUUGCGGCUGUCGGACGAUGACAGCUGGCAGACCUUUUUUGACGUUGGCCGUUACCACGUCGCCGACACAAGCUGAUGCGAGCAUGCUGAGACGCCCUUUGAUUCCUUUCACUGAAAUUGAUAAUUUUUUGGACAAACCUUUUGUUAGUCCCUGUACUUUUACAAAAUUUAAAAUUUAGUCCCUGCUGUUGUCACUGCUGCAACAUGAAGCACAUGGUCAAAUCAACCAGCUAUUACAACUGUUAUCUGUUAGUUUGUUAUUAGCUGUUAGUAUUUAAUUGUUGACUGAGCUAUGACUAAGUUUAUCUAUAAUAGUAAUUGAUAUAAUGCUUUCAAAUUCAUUUUUUACAUUAGGGUAUAAAUUAGACAUUGAUACUCACAAACCAUUUUGAGUUUUACUUGAAAAAAAAAUUAAACUUGAUUAUGCAAUUACAAGAGCUCAAGCUAUCAGUUGAGCUAAAUUCAAGUUUAGUAAUAUUUGAUUCGAACUGCUCGCGAAUCUUAUCAAACUUUUCAUAUUUUUAUAUUAUUAAAAUAUAUUAUUAUCCUUAAUAUAUAUUAUUAACCUUAAACUUAAUUAUUAAGUCAAGCUCGAGCUCAAGUAGUUCAAUUAUAUUUCAAGCCGAGCUAGAGCUUUAAAAUAAAUGUUCGAUCGAGCUUAAAUCAAAUAUCAAGUUUUAAAUUUUGAGUCAAAUUCGAGUUUGACAAAAUUCAAGCUUAACUCGAUCAUUACACCCCUAAGUUACAUAUCAUUUUCUCUCUUUCAAGUUUCUUUCGAUUCAUUCCUUCCUAGAGAGUUUUCCUCUUUUGUUGUUGAUCUAAUAGUUAUUUUUUCUUUGCACAAUUACUGAGAGUUUAACAUGGUACUAGAACUAUCAUUAGUCUGAACAAAAACUUUUUUGUUGGUAUAUCACCAUAUUUUAAGAUCAACCUUCACACACCAAUGCACAAAUGAGAAAUAACUUACGUAUAGUUUAAGGAUAAUAGCAAAAUUCCCCUCGAGACUUCACAAGGAGUCGAUGUCUUGCAGGUAAAAGUGUGCAAUAUGUUUCAUCAAUGGGCCCCUAACAUAUAAGUACUUCAAUUUUCAUGCUCACGUCAGUAUUUUUUUUUUGUCAGCAUUUUGAUUUCAAUUCAUUUGGAUUUGUUAGGUUUCCAAGCUAUGUCAUGUUUGAAUUAUUCCAAGUUGAAGUCAUUUUCGGGUUUCGAGCUCGAAUGUACAGGUUUAGAAAAAAAAAACUGGCUGGAAAAAGAACUAAUGACUACAUGAAGCUGAAAUCAGUUUAAUCGUUUAAAAACAAAGCAGUUUGAUAUAUAUAUAUUUCGCCAAAUUAAUCAGAGGGGUUUUUUUUUUUGGGGGGGGGGGGUGUGGGGGGGCAUUGUAAACCGACGAUGGCAAAACAUUUCCAGACCAAAAAUCAGCUCAUCUCGUCGCAGACUUGGACCCUGCACCGGAUAAAAGAAGACCCUUAGUAACCAUACCAAUGUCAUGAAAGUAUGUACUCAUGGAGAUUGCUGGCUAUUUCAUAGCUAGCUAAUAUCAACAUUCCAUUUACAUUUAACUUACCCUUUGCAUCGACAAUUACAAUUACCUACACCAAAAAAAUUUAUCGAGUAAAAAGCAUCUCUAAUUCUAAGAUUGAGUGAAAAGAAUACGAUUUCGUUCAAUUGAAUUCACAUGAAAAGUUAUAAUUUUUUCAAAAUUUUGUGCAUGGAUAUUGUUGUAAUUUUGAAUGAUUAAAACAUGAUAAUUUACUUACUAGUUGGACGUUUCAUGUUCCGGCAAAAUUUACUGCCACAUCUGCACUGGAAUGUCUUAACAUGAUGGUCGAGAUCAUCAAAGUCGAUACCAUAGUCCUGCAUCACAAAAUGCAUGGCAUCUUCAAUCUAUGAGAAUUCUCAUGCAUGCAUAUGCCGUAAAAGAAUGCAUUAGAGCCAGAAUAAUUAAGCAUAUUAAUGUUACAGAAAACAAGAAAAAGGCAAAUAUGUAUAUCAUGCAUCAUAAUUUAUAAAAUACAGAAAAUAAAAAUUAUUACUUCAUCGUGCAUGGUUCGAGAAUAGCAGAAUGUAGUCUUGGUGAGAAAAUAAACUUAUUUUCCUACUUCAUUGCAAAAAACCAUUGCAUGAUUUUCAGAACACAAAAUGACACUAAGUACGAAUUACGAUUGCCAAAUAAGGAUGAAUGAGCAGUCAUACUCACUUGAAAAUGUUUUACUGGAUGCAUGUGCUAAAGACCUUAAAAUUCAACGAGUAUGAUACAGUCUUUGUCUAUGGUGCGUGGUGUGCUGGACAAUCACACAAAUCUCUGAAUAUCCUUUAAAUGCCACACAUUAUAACUUAUGGAACCUAAAAAACACUAUAAUUAACUUGUAGAAACAUUCUCAGGUCAAAACCAAAGCAUAUAACUCCCUUGUACAUAAGGAGGCAAGCUAUCACCAAAUGGAAGUAACACAGGAAGGAGUUGAUAUGGAUAACAGAUUGAAUAUAAGAGAAAUAAAUUAAAAGCUGAACUCUUCGGGCAACUUCAAGAACCUAAUCACUAACCUUAUAAAAUGCAACAUAUAUAAACUACAAGCUUCUGAAUAAUAUAGCUAAUCACUCACCCAAGUCAGCUCUUCAAGCGCAUGAACCUCUCUUGUUGUAAAGAAGGCUAGCUGCACACAGUACAUGCUCAAUUAGACUUGCUAUUGAAAAGAAUUUAAGCCAGCAAAACAAAUACGACAAUGAGGGUGAAAGAAACCGGUAUUUCGUACAUGAUAGUAAUGAAAUUCUGGAGUCUCCACUUCAACAGGAAUCUCAAUCAAGUUUGCAUCUAAACAUCUAGCAAUAUAAGGGUACAAAAAAUCAGAUAUUUUAAAAUAUUAGUUUAGGCCAAGGUGCUCAGAUAUUUCUUCAAAUGCAUUUGUCAUCAUGUGCCUUAACCACAAUGGUAAUUGAAACAAAACCUUGAUCGUGGAAAUUUAGUCAAUGUUGCAGGUAACCAGUCUAAUAUUUCAUCUAAUGUUUGUACCCUGAAAAUAUUUUCCCAUCUCCCUGCUUACACUACGGAUGAACCUUUUUAAUGUCAUCAAAAUCUGUUACCAAUGCCACAAAAAUACACAACAUGGAAACAGAUGCACAAGCAAAAAAGCAAUUGAAGGUUUUUGAAGAACACUUAAGAAAAUAAGGGCACAGAAAGUCUAAUAUACUACAUGCAUACAUACGAUUACCUAUGAUUGAUAAACCUAGCAACAUUUCCAUAACAUGUUGCAUCCAAGCAGAGGGCCUCUUCAUCCUUAGGAACUCCCUUCAACCCCCAGUAAGCAUCCAGCAGAACUGGAGAUGUAUGUUUCUCCCUGUUCCUUGCAUACAACUCAGGGAUGGUGAGUAUUUCUCCAACAAACUCACAAACAAAAGCUCCUUUGGGGAGAUUCUCGAGAGUUCUCAGGCCCCAACCUUUUCCAUCAGCUGUCAGAAACACCUAGCAUUCAGAGAAAACUAGUCAUGUAAAACACUGUCACAAAAAAGCAAAUUCAAAAGUAAAUGCCUAAAUCUGAAAAGCAACCUAAGAUAACAAGGACCAGAAAAUGUACAAGAGUAGGAUGAACCAAACCUGCAAUUUAUAAUUUACACCUCUCUGCACCACCCGAUUGCCACACUGCUUAUUGCACCCACAUUUGAUCCAACACUCUUUGAUUACUUUUCUCCGUAAGUGACCCUUACAAGGCUCCGCAAAGUCAUCAGCUUUUGAUCUCUCAAGAGGGCACUCUGUGCAAUUAAGAAGACAUUGUUUUUGAGGAUCACGAGUCAUAGAGAUACACUCUUCUAAGAAGUCUUCCUUAAUAACACCUUCCGGGGUAUAAGCAAAUUUUCCCCCAGCUUGACACGCACAUGCACAAGGCUUCUGGGACAAGAGACAAUCCCCGAGACAUGUAGGACAACAUCUUUCAUCUCCAAUCCGAGAAAGAGAAAAACUAACAUGGGCAUUUUGAAAUACCAAAUUGUCUGAUAUAUACUGAAACGGUGUAGGAAACUCUUUAUUAAUUUCAUUUACCCAUGAAAUUUCCAAAUUUUCUUCUCCCUUGGUUAUGUCACUUGCAUCAAGAACCCGCCUUAAUUCAUUAGAUGUAAGAUGAUGCUGUGGAGCAACCACCAAGUCCUUCCUCCCAACAUUGUCAACAAAUCCAUUUGCAGAGCAGUGAUUAUCGAAAGAUUCAUUUAACAUCAAAGUUGCCUCACAACAACCAUUUUCUUUAUUUUUCUCAGCAUCACCUCUUGUAGGAGAUUUCUGCAAUACGUCAAGAGCUGGCAUCUCAUUACCUUCCUGCGAUUGAUUAGAAGAAUUAGUUGCCAAUUCCGAGAUGCACUCACACAUAUCAGUCAGAAUUUUGAUGACAUCAAAAUUUGGGUCAAUGAGUUUAUAAGACUGGAGACAUCUCAGCUCCAUCAGUCCUCUUAGUUCAUCUAUACUAGGCAAUUUGAAAUUUGGCCUUCCAAGAGCAGAAUUGUAACUUAGAGAAAUCGUCACCUCUCCCAAUUGUGAUGAGGCAAUCUCUAGGAUAGAAGGAAUUCCAUCAGGAACAGUAGCAUGCUCGCAGCUGGUAUGUCUCUCAGUUCCUGAAGCUGAAGCACCAGCACCUGCAAUUUCAGCUGCAUGCAAGGAUUCUGGAGGUUCCAGCCAAUUUGAUUUUUCAGUUGAAAAAUCCCCUAUUGGCAAAUCUCUUCCGCUUAAUGAAUCUAUUAAAAAAUGUUAUGGUAAAAUAAAUAAAUAAAGGAUUAAAAAUGUUAGAAAAUAGAAAGAGGGAAAAGCAACAACUCCUCAAGAUAAGCAUCAUUACAAUUUCAAUAUCCAUCAAUGUUGUAAUUAAAAUGCUGUUAGCAGAUUCUCUAUAUAAAAAAUGGAGUUAUAUACAACAGAUUAGGAUCAACACAGCAAUAACUAAUAAAUUAGACGGAACUAAUUGAUAUUCAGUUCAAGACUCAUCAUUUCUUUAAGCACAGACAUGUAACCACUAAAACAACAUAUACAGGCAUUUAAAAUGCAAACAAUUAAAUCAUACAAGUCAAAAUUUUGCAAGUACAUUGAACUCCUAGUCUGUCAAUGAUAUAAACCAAAAUGUAAAAGUAGUAACAUGUACAAACUGCAAAUUCAUUAGCCUGUGGAGAAAAGCAUAUAUAUGCAUUACAUCUUUAUUUCUCUUUCGUUUUAAUGAAGACAGGUUCAACAGGUUCCAAACGUCUAAAUUAUCAAGUGUAGAUACCAGCUGAAACCUGAACGUGUAACAACCCGAGAUUAUGUACAGCCAAGGUAACGGGUUGAGAACUAUACAGUCUAAAUUGUAUGCCAAAAUUUAUAGGACAUACAGCUACAUGGUAUACUCCAGACCAUGCUUUUCAGUUUUUAAGUAAUUUUUGAGUAAACUGGAAAAGCUGAAUAGAUAACAAACCAUGAAUAUUAUAUUUCUACACCAGGACCCAAUAAAAGCUGCACAUAAAGGAAUUACGUGUUGAAAAUGUGACCUCCUAAAAAGGUAUUUCCACUGUUUUUAAACACUGGUUCAUGACUUAAGAAACAUGUAACAAAUCCUAUUAAAAGUCUGUCCAUUUUAUAGUACAGAUUACCAAACUUUAUAACAUCAAAAUGGACUCAAUUAAAUUAGAUGCAAGAGAAUUGCCACAGAGCUAAUCAAAUAUUGAUUUGAAAUGAAAAGUGAAUUAUGGAGGAAAAAGAAAGAAAAUGGCAUUCAUAUGGGAAUUACAAUAAUUACCUGGCUGAAUAACUGCAAGAGGAACCUCAUCCUGUGGCAUGUCAUCAGUAAAGGGCUCUUCCUUGGGUAUAAUUAGUGCCUGAGUAGCAGAGAACCUAUUGUUAGGAAUAAUACCAGGCUCAGGAGCUGGAUCUUUAAUACGCAAGGCAACAGAUGCUCUCUCAGGGCCUUUUCCCUUGGAAGCAACAUGAGGUGACAUAGGUUCCUUUCCUUUGUAAUUAGGCCUAGGUUCUACAAUCUGCUUCCCUUUAUCCCUACCACUAUGAUGAGGUGAAACAGGAGCAUGGGAGGGAGGCUGAGGGGAAACAGGACCAGGUAAAGCAGGCAGGAUUUCUGUCCUUAUAUUUCCAACAUUGGACUGAAGUGACUGGUGUUGCAAAGAAGCAGGAGGUAUUUCAUUCUCCUCAACUUUAGGCUCUUUUAAAAGAGUUCCAGCAACAUUAGAGCUUCCAUUUGUAUGAGAACAAGUGGCCAGCCCUUCUUGGUUUUUUAAUCGUGCUCUUUUUAAGGGGCGAACAAGCUCAUCAGGUGUGGAACCUUCUUCGUCAAUGUCCUCCUGCUAGGUAAGAAAAUCAAAACAUAUCAGUUGUCGGAGAUGGAUGAUGAGAAGAAGGAAAAAAAUUUCUGCAGAACCAGCAUAAGUUAGAGAGAUGAGUCACCAGUCACGUACAUCAUGUGCAUUGCUUUUUUUAGGUUCUGACACCUGAAAAGCAAGAACAAUAUCAAAGACGUCAAGAGAUGAAAGUUGAAAUUGUACUAAAAUAUAUUAUAAAGGAAAAUGUACCUUGCUGUCCUCCUCCUCAAAGAUAGCAUCAGCAAGAACUCUAUAAUUCUCUGAUUCAAUUAGCUCCCAAUUUUUCUCAUACAGCUUUAGAAGCUUCUUCAAUACUGGUUUCACUUUUUCCUCGCUAAUUCCUAUUUCCUUCAUCGUGCGGAAGGCUUGCACAACUCUGGGGUUUGGUGCCAUGAUGCUUUAUCAGCUAUCACUUUUGCAGGCUUGCAAACACCGCUAUUUUUACCUACAUUUCUCCAUUUUGGUCAAAGAAGGUAGGCAACAACAGUCAGUCUCAUUCCAGGAUUGCAAACACGCAAACACCACUAAACUAAACAUUUUUAACUUCUAAUGUCUACAACUAAAUUAAGAGAACUAAACAAUAACCUAAAAAAUGAAUAUCAUCAUAUAACUUUAAUUACACUCAAGAUCAUUCAAGUUCAAGUAAGAAACCUAAAGCUAAAGCCUUCAGGAUUACAAGCAAAAAAGAUCAACCAAAUCAUUUUUUUACCUUAGCGAGAAAAAACCCUUGAAGAUUAAUUUAAUCUAAACCUAAGACAGAAAACACGGCAGGAAUGAGGUUUUUUUUUUUUUAAUAAAGAAAAUUUUCACAUCCUAGAAAAUUUUCUUUGAAAGGAAAAUCAUCUUUAACGUUUCUAGAGAAGCUCAAAAGUUUGACUUUCUAAUUUCUUUCUUUUUCUUUCUUUUAGUAUCGUUUCAGAGAUCAAACAACUUCCUUUCAGCGAGAGUACUGCAUUACCGAAUACCGUACAGUUCAAUUCAUUGCUUAUGAGGAAAAUGUUUUUCUAGACGACAUUUUCCCAGCAGACAAACAGAAGUUAAGCCAAGAAUUUAUCAAAAACCAAUGCACUAAGCCGAGAAAAAAAUUAAAGCCUCGGAUUCAAAUGUAACGGGAAAAAAAAACUUUGAUAGAAAAAUAUGGAAAAAAAAACACUGAAAGUGAGAACGAGAAAGAAAAGGAAAGAAUCGUAGAACAGAAAAUCAUACCAGAAAUUUUCGGUGUGAGAGUGAUUAGCGUUCGAAAGGUAAAAAAUUAGAAAACAUAGGGCAAUUUUUGGGUUUUUGAGAAAAAAAGGAAAAAUACGAGAAUUAUUUUACCCUUUUGAAGAACAAAAUGACAAGGUCAAAAUCUACUAUUAGUCCCUGUAGUAUGCUUAAGUUUUGAAUUUAGUCACUAUACUUCAAUUUGAAGAAUUUUAAUUUUAUACUUUUCCAAAUUGGUCAAUUUUAAUUAUUAUACUUUUAAAAUUUUAAAAUUUCAAUCUUGACUCAAAUGUUUGUAGUUAAACUAUGUUAUUAAACAUGUAUUAUGCGUAAAAUUGUUGAUUUGUUGAUACGAGUUAUCAACAAUAAUGAGAAGAUAUUGUGUUGAUUCACCAGUGUAAGUAAAAAACUAGUGCAAAGAGAAAAGGAGAAUGCUCUAAGCCUUUUGUGUAAGAGUUAAUAGAGAGAGAAAACCCUCGUGCACUCUAGCUUAUAUAUGGGGUCAUUGGUCAUCUUGCAGUGUCACGUGAUGGUUUAGUUAUUGUCAUAUGUAUUGUGUGGUACCUCUAUCCUCAGGAUAGUACAAAACGGUUACAUUUAGGUGGUCCUAAUAAGAGGGUGCACAAUGGACCAUCUAAAGGCUAACUCACAAUGGUUUUGGAGGGUCACCAUGGACCAUUCAACAGCUUGUCACGUGUUGUGCUGCAGUAAGGGUAUAACAAAAUCCAAUCAUUGUUCUCCAAUUGAAUUAUUUUUAGUCAUUAUAUUUUUCAAAUUUUAGAAUUUCAAUAUUGACACAAAUUAUUACUGUUAAAUCAAUUAAUUGGAAUUUUUAAUUAACACGUAGAAAUAGUAAGGUGAUAAUAGUAUUACAUAUAUGAUAUCAUUUUUUCCACAUCAAAUUUUAAAAAUAGCAGAACUUGAUGUAUUUAACACUGCCAAUCAAAAAUUUAAAAUUUAGAAAAUACAGGUAAAAUAACCAAAUUAAAAUAUAAAGACUAAAUCCACAAAUUAUGUAUGGUACAGGGACUAUUAGCAGAAUUUAACCCCUUGGCUAUAUUAUAAAAGCGCGUGACGCACACGCUAGUGUUGAGCCCACCUUGAGCGUAGAAGUGGUACCAAUACUAAAGCAGUCAAAUUUCUCCGUUGAACUCCGUCCUCAAGAAUCAGUUUCAAAAACCCUCCAACAAAAACCCUCUUCCAUUUCGUAAUAUAAACCAUGGCGGCUCAACCCAAACGCGGCGGAGUUUCCCUACCCGAGAGGCGGUCUGCCGGCAAGCCGGAAUCCAACAUCCUCGCCAGGAUCAGUUCCUCCCCUAUCGUUUCUCGUGGUAAGCAAGCCGCGUGCGACGCCGCUUUCGUCUCCAAGAAGCUCCUCCUUAGCACCGGAAAGGCUGCUUGGAUCGCCGGAACUACUUUCUUGAUCUUAGCUGUCCCUUUGAUCAUCGAGAUGGACCGUGAGCAGCAGCUCAAUGAGCUUGAGCUACAGCAAGCUAGUCUUCUCGGUGCCCCGCCUACUGCGUCCGUCAGUAAGUGAUCAGGUCCGAUUGGGUCAUUUCAGGUCAGAGCUUGUUGUUUCAUCAAUUUUUUGCCUGUUUUAGGCCGUUCCCCUUGAGUUACAGUAACCUUUCGAUCAUGUACGAGUUUUAGAUGUAGUUAAGGAAUUCAAGAUUUUACUUCUUUUUUGGUGUUUCAAGUUUGAAUUUCUUGUGGAAUGGCGUUAUUGGACUUGGUUUUAUCAAGUUUUUGCUUAUGAAUUUCAAGUGAAACUGUGUUGUCUUUGAUAUUGUUGUAAUAAAGUACUCGAAAUUUAGGAGUUUUCAUUUUUGCUACUUUUGAAUGAGAACCAAAUGAUUAUGGAAUGAUCUUUAACCAAAGAUUUACUGAAAUAGUCAAAUGCUAUUACUUGAUCGCUUUGCAUUGAAUAUUGUUAGAUUACAUUGCAGCAGUUGAGUAUACAUGGCAUACAUCGAUGUUUGAAGAGUCCACACUUGUAUCUUGGAAAUGUUCUAUUUCAGUAUUGAUCCUUUUUUUAUGAAUUUCACUCUGAUGUUGACCAUUAGUUGGGACUUGGGAGUUGGAGUAGGGUCAAGAAUUAUUGGAAGCUCACCACACCCUCGAUUUGGUAGUUCUCCUGAUGAUUCUGAUGUGCUUAAACUAGUUCUAGAAUUUCAAGAAUCAUGAACCAUCAGGAUAUGGGAUUAGGUGCACCAACGUAGUUAGAGUUUUAGCUUUGUCAUGCCUAUUUCUGAUAGCAUGAAAAUUAAAAUACAUCAGUUCUUUUGACUUUCAAUUUGAAGUUGGUGCUUCAUAAUAUGUCAUAAAGAAAACUUGGAGUUAUUAAGUUCUUAAUGGAUUUGAGUUGUUAGAUUCAUUGUUGAACUAAUUAUUCCGAGAGAAUCUGAGGGUGUUUGUUUUCUAGUUGUAUUGUUGGUUGAAUCAAUUAGACAGGAAUAAUAAAUGUCACAAGCAAGGAUGAGUAGAAUUCCGUCUUUGUUGAACUUAAGGACUGUGAUCCCUUUCUCAUAAAAGUUUAUUUCUAAAGGUUCAGUGUGGUAAAGAAUGUAAUAUAGGGUCUUCUGAAAGUACUCUUGCAGUAGAACCUCUUUCUUCAAUUUUUGGUCGUUGGAGAUCGAGAUCAGGACACAGAUUAUAUGCUGUCCAGGAGCAUGCUAAUCUUUUACUGUUUAGUAGGUUAAAAAUCCUUCUGCCAAAAAAUGCUGUUAUUGCACCGAGUGCUUGAUGUCUUUAUUUUUCCUAAUCUUUGGCAUCAAGUCAAUAGGGAAUAUUUGGUAACUACAACAUAAGCUUUCAACACUCUUUUGGCAGUUUCACCUAUGGCCAUGUGAAAUGCAAUUUUGGGGAUCAAAUUAUCAACGAAGGAGGAGAAAUUUCAAAAUCACUGAACAUCAUUUUCCCUAGUGAGGGAUGUUGGUAUUCUAGUAGUUUUCUCUUGUAGCUCAUAUGAUUAUUUAUUCAUGUCACAAGCUGAAAACGGCUUUUAAAGUGUAAACCUUAGACUAAAGAGGUUUAGGUAAGAAAGUCUUAGGCUUUUCUUGGAAUGAAGACUGAAAGAGGUAAAGAUGGAAAAUUUGUAAUGGUUAAGAUGCAUGGCCACCUUCCUACUUUACAGCUUAACCAUUAGAUUAACAAAAUUUCCAUCCUCACUUCUUUCCUUCUUUCGUACCAAGAAGAGCCUUACUAUGUUUACAUAUCUUGCUUCGGCAUCUGCUACUUGGUUAACUUGCUUGUAACUCUAGAUAUAAGAUGCAGGUGUAGGCAUGUAGCGUAGCAAAGUGAAAUGAAAUUAGGCAAUAGGUGCAACAAUAAGAACAGAUGAAGCAUCAUAUGUAGAUGAGGAUGGGUGGUCCAAAUCUUGCCAAAUAUAAAAGAUUUAAAAGAAAAAAAACCAAAGUAUUAGUUUGACAUGGAUUCUAGGAACUAUUUUCUUUGUAUACGUGGUUGUGGCUUAAAACACGAGGUAAUCUGAUCUCAUAGUGCCUCACCAACUUAUUUAAACAUCAUGGUUGAUAGAGAAUUAGAGUUUGGACCCUAGCCCUGAAGAAGACUUAUUGAAGAUGAUUUGUUUACUUUUAAGAGUAGUGGGGACAAAGUAAUGGAUAUUAUCAAGUAUCAAACUUUAAAGGCAUUAUAGGACCAAAGAGACUUCGGUACACUUGGUCUAAACCAAUGCUUUUUAAGAUUGGUGAACUGGGUUGACCCUUUGAGACCAGAAAAUCAGAAAAGGAUCCUUUACUUUUCUUUUUUUUUUUCUUGAACUUCGAUUAUGGGUGAAUAAUAAGGAUAAAGAAAAGCUAGUAGGCACUGGGGUCUAUUGUGUCUUUAAAAUAUAGUUGUUUUAAGGUCCUUUAAUUUGGUCUCGAAAUGGUGGUAUGCUUUACAAGGUCCCUUUCUUUUGAAGUUUAAAGCAUGAAGAACAAAAGACUUAGUUAAUUUUUCUUGUGAGGUAUCUCUGCUUUUGUAGGAUAAAAAUUCAUUCCUUUUGUAAGAAAUGUUAAUCUUGAUAUUCUGGUUAUAUGGUUGGUUUGUGAUUUGAAAUGCAGAGAUGGUUAGUUCAUCUGGCAAUCCUUCAAACAAUAUGAAGCAUUUCAAAAUGCUUAAAUCGUUUAUGUCAGCAUUUUUCAUUUUAGGAAUCAGAUUUCGGCCAGGGCUGGCGCCAGGUACAGGUAGGAUCCUUGGCCCGAAAAACAGUGAAAUAGCAAUCAAGUCCUUUAGAAAUUAUAGAAUUAUAAAGUAGUAUAAUGAUGAAAUUGCAUAUUGAUCCCUAUAAAAAUUUUCUAGCUUCUGCCUUCGGCUUAAUCUAUAGAGCUUGUGAUUCUUACUCUAAUUUGAGUGUUAAUUUCUUCAGCCCUCCUUGUUUUAUACCUUUGUUACUUAUAGGACAAGUGUUAAAUACUAGUAUGUAUCAAUGCAGAUAAUUUUUUAUUUAAAUUUAAUUACAAAAUUAUAUAUUAAUUAUCAAUAUAAAUAUGUUUCUUAUUUUAUUGUUUUUAAUAAUAAAAAAGAAUAUGGGGUUAGAGAAAAAAAAAUAUCGUUAUUUAUCACCUUUGAAAACAAAAUGACAUCAUUUUCAAAAGUGAGAAAAUCACUUUCAUCAAGACUUCACAAUUUUAUUAGAAAAAAGAACAAAUAUAUGUAUGGUCACCGGAGGAAAAUUUGAAAACUGAAUUCUCUUAAUUAAAGUUUAUAUUAAAUUUAUACUAUAACCAUAUUCUAAAUUUAUAAAUUUAUAUAAUUUCUUUCGUGGUUUAACAUUUUUAUAAUUUAUAUUUUUUAAUUUUUGGUUCAAAAAAGUUUUUUAUUUUUAAAUUAUAAAUACAAAUAAUAUUUUCAAUCAUAAUCAAUACUCAUCCAGUAACAUAGUUUAAAUUAACCACUUAACUAUAGUAAAACAAAAGAGAAAGCCCACUAAUUCAACUAAAUAUUAUUCAGAAUAAAUCUAAAGAGAAAAUCCACGUACAAAUUUACAAAAACACUCGAAAUUCUAGGGAUGUACAAUAAAGAGCAUUAAUCAUCAUCCGUUUUGAAAAAAGUUUAAAACAGAAAUUAUAUAUAUAGAUAAUUUAUUACUCGUAACAUUAUUUUGUCAAUUAUAUUUUUAUUAUUUUAUCAUAAUUAUUGCUUACAUAUUUUUGUGACCUUUUUUUAUUUCAUUCGACUAUAGAGGUGCACCAUAGAACUUAGUCAUUAUCAAAAUGCGUGGCAUUCAUUACGGGUAUUUUUUCAGUUUUUAUUUUUGUGUUUAUCUUCUAAAUUACAGAUGUCAUAAUUAGAGAGUUGAAGCUGUGACGUGUCAGCUAACCAGCAGAAUAGGGCGUGGAAAGAUAUAAUGAUUCAGAUGUAUCACAUCUUAUCAACUAGGUCCCACUCUUCCAACCGGCAAUUUCAUAAUUUAAAUAUUAAAAAAAUUUUAAUAAGAAACAAACUGAUAAAUUGCACUCAAGGUCACUGAAUUUUUAGUAAGUUUAUAUUUUAGUUACUUAACUUUUGACUAUUCAAAAAUUUUAUUUAAGUCCCUGAAUUUUUUAAAUAUUUUUAUUUAAGUCACUUGGUUAAUUUUUUGAUGUUAGUGUUUGAUAUCAAAGAAGAAAAUUGUUUAAAUUUUAGUUCACAUAUUUGUGAUGUUUAAAUAUAUUUAAAAGAAAAAGAGAAUGAGAGCUUGUAAUUGAUGUAUAUGUGUGAAUAGACAAAGUUUUACAAUAGAAAUUUUAAUAACCUAAUGACUUGAAUGAAAAUUUUUAAAUAAUUUAAUGACCAUUUUAUAAAAUUUUAAAGUUGAGUGAUUAAAAUAUAAUUUUAUUAAUAGUUUAAUCACCUUGGUGUAAUUUACCUGAAAAGGAAAAAAAUAUAGAAAAACGUGGAUUCUAUCUUGUCUCCUGGCCCCCAAACCGUCCAAUAUCAGACAAAAAGCCACGCCGCCCUCAAAAAAUAAAAAACAAGCAAAACAUGUCUGUUUAUGAUUGUUCCUCUGAUUUUUUUUUAUAUAUAAAAAUAUAUUUAAAUUUUAUUCGGACCUGAAAACAUUAUAGUUAUCGGUACUGAAACCUUGUUUAUAAAUUUAAAAAAAAAAAAAGGAGGAGGAAGUGGAGGGAAUGAAGGGUUUUGAUUUGAUGCGGGUGGGUCUAAUGUUAAUGAUAUGUCGAGCUGUCAAUGUUUUUUUAUCAUUUCAUUCAAAAUCCGUGUGUUUUACUUGCUUGAGGUUUUUAAUUUGGUAAAAUUGUGUUUUUAGUACCUGGGUAAGUUACGGAUUUAGCUUUAAUACCUUACUUUUGCUCAAUUUUAGUGAUAAUAUAUUACUUGCCUAUGAUUUUAGAAAUGUCAUAUAGAAAUUCUUAUAUUGGGAGUCAGAUUACAUACUAUCCCUUUAAUUAAAAAAUAAGUAAAUUUAUCUCUAUACAUAAGAUGAAAGAGUAAAUUGCUUUUUUUUUAAAGAACUUUAUCCAUUUCUAUUGCUAAAAGUUGUCAUGGCUAAUAAAAUAAUUAGACAAUUAUACGUGACAUGCCACAUGUACCUUAUUCUAAUGUACAUAGACUUGUUUUUAACCGUAGAAAUGGAUGGAAUUUUCAAAAGGACUAUUUUGCUCUUUGAUCUAAUGUAUAAGGAUUAAUUUGUUCAUUUUUUAAGUAGAUGGGGCAAAAUAAAAUUUAGCUCCUAAUAUAAGAGCCUCCAUAGUAAUUUUACCAUAUAAUUUAACUUAAUAGAUUUAAAAAUUAGCAUUUGAUUUGAAACUAAAAUUUCAAAAAUUAAGGAAUAAAGACUAAAUUAGAUUAUAAGGAUUAAAUAUGUAAUUGAAACAUAGUCUAAGGACUAAAAGCAAAAUUUUACAUUUUUCAUGUUUAUGAGGUGGUUCCGACAUUGUGGUGAUGGGCUCCAAGGUCUGACGUGUGGAACCUCGUGAUGUUUGGGCCCACUCUUGUCGGCUUGUCGUUUGGUUCGCUUGCACUGAAUGGGUCCACCCACUAACUGUGCUUUACCGUUUUUCUCCUUUUGGUCUUGCAUUAUUAAAAUAAUAGUAGAAAUAAAUAUUUUUUAAAAAAUAAUGUGAACUAAACUGGAUUGAUCCAUCGUAUUAGAAAGAAGUUGGUGUAUUGAUCCGGAGUAAGGCAAAAGAAUUAGUUAGACUCGUAAAUCAGUAUUAAAAGAUUGAAAUGGAUUAAAAAUUUUAAAAACCACCUUAUUUCUCUAAAAAAUUAAUUGAUUUAUUAUAUUUUUACAAUAAAACCUUCUAUGAACAAUAUUUUGGAGACUUUAAAAAAUCAAAAAUCCCUCUAUAUAUUUUAAACUCAAUUUUAUAUAAAUGCAAGCAUAGAUUUAAAUUAAUCGAAGUGCAGUAAUUCAAAAGGGAAAAUGAAUUAAAAAUGAGAAAAAGGAAAGAAAAUCAUUAAAUUUUUAAUUAAUUAGUUAGGUUUUGGCAUUUUGUUAAUCUUAUCCAAACAUUAAUUUGUAUAAAACAGAGACACUCCCAUUUCCCAAGAAGAUUAUCCCAAAAUUAUAUAAUAAAUGCCAUCAAAGCCUGCUAGAAUUAUUUAUUAACAUUUUGUUGUUAUAUUAUGUGUUCUUUUUCCUUUCUUUUUUUUUUUGAUAAAUGAUUUUUUAGCAGCUUUAUUCUUUAAAAAUAAUUAUAGUUAUUUAAAGGUUAGGUUAAAAUAAGGUUUAAAAACAAUUUAUUAUAAAAAUAUAUCAAUUUGAGCCGGAUUGUGGUUUAGCUCGACCUAUGAAUAAAUUGAUUCUAAAUUAUAUCUAUUUUUAGUUACUUAAUUUUAAAAAGUUAUAAAAUGAUCAUUAAAUUAUUAAAAAGUUUUCGUUUAAGUCAUUGGGCUGUUAAAAUUGUUGUUGUACGGUAUCUGUUCACACUACCUAUACCAAUAAGAAAUUCUCUUUUCCUUUCUCUUCCAUAAUUCAAUUUUUUUUGUUAUGAAAUAGUUUUGAACAUCGCGAAUCAACAAACUAAAAUUUAACUAAUUUUCUUUUUUGAUAUCCGACACUGGCUGUCAAAUCACUUUGAUCUAAGGUAUGUUCUUCUACUUGACACUGGAUACUAAUCCACUGUACUUAAGUGAAUAAUAAUUUUUAAAUAGUUCAGUGGUUUAAGUGAAAAAUUUUAAAUAGUUUAAUGAUAUUUUGUUUGAAGUUUAAUAACAAAAAUAUAAACUUAUUAAUAAUUUAGUGAUAAUUUAUUAUUUUUAUUUUUUAUUUAUUAAAAAACACACACACUAAUGAGGAAUAUGAAAACCAGACAAGGUAGGGACCCAAACAAAUAGCAGAACCAGCACCUUGGUAAACCAAAAUCACCUUCCCAACCAACCUUUUUCCAUUUUUCUCCUUCUUCACUACCACUCCUCUAUUAUUAUUUCCUUUCAUGUUCAAUUUCCUCUCACAAAUCUCCUUUUUGAUUUUCCCAUUUCUCUCUGCCUGCAAAAAUCCCACAUACAAACUUUUACUUCCAUUUGAUCAUUUUUCUUCUCCUCUUUGAACCUAGGACCUGGGGGUUCAGUUUUAAAUGCAAGGUGGUGGCGGCGGCGGUUCUGAAAGUGGGUCAAUGUCUACAGUGUCAAGGGAUGAGAACAUGGUGGUGUCUUCUGAAGAUUCUUCAUGCCCGGAUGAGUCUGGGUUGGAGUUGGGUCUUGGUUUGAGCCUUGGUGGUGGUGGUGGUGGUGGUGGCGGCGGCCGCCAAGGCGGUGGUUUUAAGAUGCAUCAUGUUUCAAAAGGUGGUCCAUAUGCUAGGAUUUUGACUGCUAAAGAUUUCCCUUCUUCAUCAUUAUCUUCAUCGUCGUCAUCAUCAUCAUCCUCACCAUCUUUAAGCAAAGCUAAUGUCACAGCUGGGACCAAGAGAACUGCUGAAUCUGUUGCUGUUGCUGCUAACGGAUCUAGGUAUAUGCUUCAGUUUUAAGCUUGAUUUGUGAUUUCAUAUUUUCAUGUAAUUAAGUUUUUGGGGUUCAUUCCAUUAAUCAUAUGUCCCUGAAUAUGCUUAUGUUCGGUAGGAGGCUCCUGUCCUAUAGUAUUUUGCUGUCUUACUUAAAAAAUAGACAAUUUAGUCCCUCUAUGUUAGAUCAUGAAUAAACUCGUCAUUCUAUUAAAAAUUACUUUCAUUUCUACUAUUAAAAACUACUAACUACUAUUAAAGACUUUCAUUUCUACUAUUAAAAACUACUAACUACUACUAUUAAAGACUUUCAUUUCUACUAUUAAAAACUACUAACUACUAUUAAAGACUAGAUAUACGUGGCACAACACAUGUCACUUUCAGGUUAUUCCUUAGCUAUAUCGGUUUUUAACCAUCACGGUUUUUAACCAUCAAUUUGACAAUGAUGAAAUAUUUAACAAAAAAAACUAAUUUGCUCUUCAAGACAAAAAGAAUCAAUUUUCUAUUUGAUUUAACGGGACUAAAGUGCAUACUUUUUAGUAGGGGUUAAAUUGCAAUAUGACUUCUAGUAUAAGGGCUUCACUGCUUAUGUUCUUAAUGUUAUAUAUAUGAGUUGUAUGUCUUGCGUAUGUUUUCUUUAACUCUAUAAUACUACCUAGUUAAGAUCAGGGGAUAGAGAAUUAGGAAAGGAGAGAAAACUAGAAUCUUCCAAUUAGGCUUAAACAUGUUCCUUAAAAUGAUUAUUUAUGUAUAGAUUUGAAUCCUUUCCACUCUCGUCGAGACGGGAUCGUGUUGGUGAACUAUGUUGCUCUGACUUUUCUUUUUUAUCAAAGUAUUCAUGCUUUGUUGUGUACCCGUUACUUCAAGGAUCUGCCAUAUGCAUGGAAAAAGUUAGGAAAAUCGAACAUACCCGUGUUGGACACGUACCUUUAUACCUAAAUUUUAGUAACUUAGCUAUUUAGUGUUUCUACUUAUUUUGAAGAUAUAAAUGCUGGUAGAUCUUGUUAAUUCUAUAAUUAGCUUUGAAUUGUUUGAUUGUUCAUCUCUCUUUGCCCCUCUUUCGGGGUGUCCUGCUUUCGAUUAACAUGUUGGUCCAACAUAUAUGAAUGGCAAAUGUAAGUGUAUUGAAAAUAGACAGAAAUGUAAUGGAUUGGAUCUUAGGUGUUGUAUUGCCAACUUGUAAAGCAUAAAAUUGGUGAUUGUCCCUGUAAUACAUAAUUGAUCAAAUUCUCAAGUUCUUGAACCCAAUUUUAAGCAGCAAACCGGUUUAUAUCAAGCCCUAUAUGGCACUAUCAAUGCCAUCAAGACUGUUUAAUGUGUACAAUUAUUCUUCAGUAUCUUUCCGGUACCUCAUGAGUAGCUAAUCGCUUUUCUUUCUAUUAAACGUACCUAUUUGAGUUCUGCUGCUUGAACUAUUAAUUUUCUUUGAAUUUGAAACAGUCAAGUUGUGGGGUGGCCUCCUAUCAGAGCUUAUAGAAUGAAUAGCAUGGUUAAUCAAGCAAAAGUGCUGACAAUGGAGAACCGCAAAAAGGAGACCUCGAUGGUCGAGAACAGCAGCAUCGGCGGCUAUCGUAACGAUGGUAACACUAAGCUGAAGAAAUCCACGUUUGUGAAGGUGAAUAUGGAUGGAACCCCAAUAGGAAGGAAGGUCGAUCUGAAUGCCCAUGAAUCGUAUGAAAAGUUAGCGAAAACGUUGGAAGAUAUGUUUCUCGAAACCGCCCCGAGUGUCAAUCCAUCUGGUAAGCUUUCCUAAUUCAUAUUGAUUAUUGACCAUGCAGAUGUCUGGAUCUAUAUGAUAACCAUGUAAAUGAUAUAUGAAAUUUAACAAAACCGAUAUAUGCAAAACCAUCCCUUUUUGUAUUUGCUUGAGCAUUGUGUCAAAAUAGGAAAUAUUAAACCUAGUAGAUGAUCAUCAAAGCGUGUUUCUCUUUUUAUGAAGGUUUGCAUUAAUUUUUGUGAUUAGGAUCAACGGCGCUGCAGCUUGAUAUGUUGAACAGGAUGACAAGACACUCGAAACUGCUGGAUGGAUCAUCCGAUUUCGUGCUUACUUACGAGGACAAGGAAGGUGACUGGAUGCUUGUUGGAGAUGUUCCUUGGGAGUACGUAUAAUUUCAAUAAUGCAUUUCACUUUACAUAUUAAUUAUUUCCAUGUCACGGUCGCGGUAUUUCUAAAAUGAACUUCUGCUCUUUUUGCCUGGACCGAAAACCAAAACGUAAUCCCUGAGAGUUUCCACCACGUUUAGACGUUUAAUUUUAUUUGAAAACAAAUAUACAUACAUACAUGUGAUAUAAAUAAAGUUUUCGGUUUAGGGUUUAGCGUUACAUAAACCAUUGAUCGGUUACUUCAGAAUGAAGUCAUCAUCUCUUGACACUGAUCGUGCAUGUUCUCGGGUUUUGAUUCAGGAUGUUCCUUACUUCAGUGAAAAGGCUUAGGAUCAUGAGGAAAUCUGAGGCAACUGGAUUAGGUACGUAUGCAAAUAUUCAUACUUUUCCGGUCUUAUCAGGGGCAGGGGCGUAGCCAAAGUGGGCAGGUAGGGGCCUUGGCCCCUGUCGACUAAACGGUUAAAUUGCUUUUUUAGGCCCUUCCAAAAUCAAAAGAUUUUCAUUUUAUUUUUGAUUGAAUAAAGAAAAUUAUAAUUUUAGCCCUUUUGAAAAAUUGAUAAUUUAAUUUUAGCAUUUUUAAUACAAGUUUUUUUAGCGUUGGUCCCUCUAAUUUUAUAAUCUUAUUUCGACCUCUCUAAACAAAAUUUUUGGUUUCACCCCUGGUCUUAUGCUUUUUUCCAGUUCUAAGCUAAGUUCAAGUUUCAUUCAUAAUUUACAGCUCCAAGGUAACAAGAAACAGAACCAGAGACAAAGAAGAAAGCCAAUGUAGAAAUGUUUUUUUUUUUUUGGUUUCAAUGUCAAUUACAGUGUUGAAGAAAUAUAGUCACCAUAGGUUAUGAAUGUAAUAUUUAAUACAAAUAACAACUAGUGAGAGUGUUGUUCUUUGCUUUUAUGCCUGUAAAUAAAAGCGGCAAGUUUGUUGUUGUUGUUUAGUUUCAGAACUUUUCUUUCGUUUUUGGUUUAUUAUAGUUAGAUUUUCGAACGGGUCAAUUUUGAUUUCAAAAAAUUAUUUAAAAUUAAAGAAGUGAAUAUUAUAAAAAAUAAUUUUGUAAAAAUUUUGGUCUCGAAAAUUUUUGAAUUUUUUAUAAAAAUCAUCGUUUUUUUUAUUUAAUUUUACUUGUUAUGCAGUAAUAUUUUAUUUUUAUUAAUUUUUUGUUUUAAUUUAUGUAAUAUAAAAUUUUAAAUAUUAUUUAAUUAACGGUUUAAAAAAUAUUUAUAUAAUAUCGAUAAUUAAAUAUGUAAUUAAAAUAAUAUAAAAUUUGGAGAUAUAUUGAAAUUUUCUGGUGGAAUUAACUUUGGGUAAAAUAUAUAAAAAUGGUACAAUAGAGUUUGGAGUAAGAUAAUGUUUACACGUGGAAGUGCACGUGCAGCAUCGGCAGUUUCGGAUAAUGGAUUCAUUCAACUAUUCAAGAGACCAAACAAGUGGAAAUGACUGAUUUAGCCUGACUGACGCAGCUGUGUGUCAUAGUGUCGGUAUUUUCAAGAUCCUUUGGUCAAACAUCAAUCUUUUAACCAAUUAUUUUAUGCCAUGUGUCAUAGUAAUCUAAAUUUAGGAUGUUAUUGCUUUUUUUAGUAUUUAAAAUAUUUAAAUUACUCAAAUAUUUUACUUUAAUAAAUAAUAAGAGUAUAUAUAUUCUUAUAAAUUAAAAUUAAUGAAAUCCUUUUCAUUAUUCAAAUCUUAUCAAACUAAAUUAAAAUCAUUUAAAUAAUAAUUUAAAAUAUAUUUUUUGCACUAACUAAAUUAAAAUCAUUUAAAUAAUAAUUUAAAAUAUAGUUUUUGCACUAAUUUUAUCAUGAAUUCUGUUUUGAGCAUUUUUAUCAUAAGUUUUGAUCAUAUUUAUCAUAACUUUUAUAAUACGUUUCAGCGUAUUUAAUCUCAUAACGUUCUACAUUGACAAUAAUACCUAUAUUAAUUAAACUAAAAUCCGCGUACAUCAAUUAUUUUGAAAAUCUCAAAGAAGGGCAAUUAAGUCAAAUGUUAAUAAUGGGGAGGGUAAAUGCAAACUGUGCUCAGCCUAUCCCCACACCUGCCGUCUCUCCAUAUAAAUUAGAUUUGAAAAUUUCUGUUUUGGUAAUAAGAUUUGAAAAUAUUUGACUCCUAAUUAGAAAAAAAAAAGGAUGGUUUAAAUCAUGUGAUUGUCAUUAAUAACAGCAAACCGAAGAAGAAAGAAAAGAAGAAAGUGCUUCUCCAUCUUCAUACUGUAGUUCUUGUCUGUAAAAUCUUAUAAACCUUUCUUCUUCUAAAAUAUCGAAGCCAUAUGGCUGAAAAUAGCCUUGGAAUUUUUGUAGAAAAAAACCCUUCAGAUUCAAAACUCUCAGAGCUUAACAUCAAGUGUUGGCCCAAGUAAGCUCCAUAUAUAUAAAUAAUCUCCAUUAUUUGGAAUAAAUAAUUUAAGAUUUUCUUCUUAAAAUUGAAUAACAGAUGGGGUUGUUCGCCUGGGAAAUACCAGCUGAAGUUCGAUGCUGAAGAAACAUGUUAUUUAUUGAAAGGGAAAGUUAGGGUUUACCCAAAAGCCUCAUCAUCAACAUCAACGGCCGAGAUGGUAGAGUUUGGAGCAGGAGAUCUUGUGAUUAUCCCAAAAGGUCUUAGUUGCAUUUGGGAUGUUUCCGUUGCUGUUGAUAAACACUAUCAAUUUCAGUCUUCUUCUUCAUCCUCUUGUGAUCACUAAUUAUAUAUAUCUCAUUAUUAUUUAUUCUCUCUCUCUCUAUAUAUAUAGAUAUAGAUAUAGACAUAUCUUCACUAAUUUUUGCUGUUGUUUUUCGAUUAAUUCUUUCAAAUUGGGAUUGAAAUUAAAUUAUAUAUUUGUAUAACAGUAAAAAUAUAAUUUUAUUUUUUAAUAAUUUAUAUUUUAUUUUUAAAAAAUUAAAUUAAAUUUUUAGUUCAAAUAUAAUUUUUUAUUAUUAAUUUAAAAUUUUAUAAAUUAAUAAAAAUACUUAAAUAGAAUAGGUUGUAUUUUUAUAGGCACCGCUAGUAGAAUUACAUUUUUCCAAUUUUUGGGUUUUAGUUUGGAUAUAAGGCGAAAUUAUUAUUAUUAUUAUUGCAUGUCCCAUCCAAAUUAAUCCUUUAUUUGUAUAUUUUAUUUAUUGCGUUUUCAAAUAUGCUUUAGAUGUAUUAUUACACCGGUCAACUCUUUAUAUAUACAUUUAUUGGGUUAAUAUAUAUUUCAACCCCUGAACUCAAUGGCACUUAAUUUUUCUUUUAUUUAGUCCUUAUCUAAACUUGAAACCAUUAAUUAAUAUAUAUUUUUUAAUUUAGUAGACAUAUCUUUUGUACUGAUAGUGAAUAAAAUAAUGAGGUGUGUCUUAAAAUUUUAAAAACUUAUAUAUUCUUUUAUAAAAAUUUAAAAAAGUAAAAAUAAUUUAAGGAAUAAUGAAUUUGAAUGCGUUUUUGUCCAUAGUCAUUUUAUAUUUUUUUUAAGUUUGGUGAUUUUUUUUUAAAAUUUUAUUUUAAAUUAUAUUACAUAAGAUUUAACAUCUUAUUUUAAAGUUUAAGAAUCAAUUUUAAUUUUUAUAUUUUUUUUGGAUUGUGAAAUUUUAAUCCUAUCUCAUGAUAACAGAUAAAUCCAUUUUAAUUAAAUUCUACUAUUAAUAUUAUUGCACGUAAAAUUAUAAAUUUAGUCCAUGUUCUUCAAUAUAAUCAUUAGUUCUCAUAUUUUUUCAAGUUCUGAAAUUCUAAUCUUGAUAUAAAUAAUAAUGAUUAAAUCCAUUAACAAGCUUUGCAAGUAACGUAUAAAAAUAACAAAUUAACAAGACAUUAUAUUUAUGAUAAUAUACUUGUCAUAUACAAUUUUAAUAAAUUUAACAGAUACGUUUGAAAUUUUAAAAAUAAAAACAUACAAAAAUUAAAAUGACUAAAUUAUAAUACAAAAAUUAUAUCUACAAUUUGUGCAAAAUAUCAAAAUUUAACCAAAACAAUAUCACUUUACUCGUAUAGGUAAGUCUAGGCAAACACCAUUAAAAUACUGAAACAGUUGUACUGUGAAUGUUAAAUCAUGUGAAAAAAGACAGAAGCAGUGUUACAAAAACAAAUGGGCUAAAAUAUUUACAAAAAAGAAAAAGCAAAAAGAAAAACUGUGCAAGCAAAAUUUGGCUGGGGGCAAAGAACAGUAAACCCACCAAACUAACAAUUUUUUAUGCUAAUUUGUAAAAUUUCUUGAAUGAAACAGAUGAUCUGCUACAGUAUAGACAAAAGGCUUCAAACUUUUAUUUUUCAAGUGGAAGUCUCUGCUGGUUGAAUCUUAUUGCUUUGGCUUGGUCCCCAUAUACGGAUUGUAUGAUCGUCACUAGCAGAUGCCAACAUCAGAGGCCGUUUAGGGUUCCAGCUGACACUAUUCACCGUCAUUGAAUGGCCAGAUAAUACCUCAAUUGGUGUGGAGCUUUGUCGAUUCCAGAUAUACACCUACCAAUAUUUGCAUAAUGUAUAAGCGAAUGAAUGAACUUGCCGAGGUCCAUGUGCAUAUAUACAUGAGUUAGACACGAAAAAAUAACAACAUCGGAGAUGACCCUGAAAAAAGAGGUCCUCUGUAAUCGGCAAAAUCAGUAUGUAUCACAAUUACAUAAGGAAAGGAGGCAUGCUAAGUGUUAAUGGGGAUUGACGCCACAGGUAGCGUAUCCCAGUAUCAGCUUCUUAGCGUAAGAUGAAGUGGAUGGAAUUGGAAGAUGUUAUUGGACUGGACUGGUUAUCAUAUGGCCGCCCGGAAUGCCAGAAAUGAUUAAUAAAUGCAAGGGUAAAAGUACUAUGGAGACCCUUGUACUAGGAGUCAAAUUAUAUUUUGCCCAUUUUACUCAAAAAAUGGGCAAAUUAAUAUACAUUAGAUUUAAGAGCAAACUGAUCUUUUUUGUUAAAAUCUCAUCCAAUUCUAUUGUUAAAAACUAGCAUGAUUAACAAAAUAACCAGACAGUUACAUAUGAAGUGCCACAUAUAUCACAUUCCGACACACAGGGACCAGUUUUUAACAAUAGAAAUGGAUGGAUUUUUUAACAGAAUGAUUAAUUUGUUCUUUGAUUUAUCAUACAAGGACUAAUUUGCCCAAUUUUUUUACUAGAGCGGGCAAAAUGCAAUUUGACUCCUAAUACAAGGACCUCCAUGGUAUUUUACCUAAAUGCAAGUGAUUCGAGAAAAGGUGUAAUAAAUUUACAACUAGCUAAACAUGAACAACAAUAUGAUUAUAUAGACAUAUAAGCAUUACCUGUGUGUUCUCACUGCCACUGGCAAUGAACAUGCUAUUGAUACCACCAAAGCAGGACCUUAUGACGUACUUGUUUUGCUUGUGUCCUGUGUACUUUAAAGGCUUUGCCCAUUUUCCGGCAACAUCUCUCAAAUGUAUCUCUUGGCUAUUUAGGUUGACAAUAAAGAACUUACUGUCGAUGGAAACAGAAAGAGAUGUGAUUGAAUGCUCCUCAAAGAUUACUUGCUCAGCAUUUGUCCUCAAAUUUAAUAUCCGAAUUUCUUUGUCAGAGAAUAUGCUGAUAAGGUUUUCACCAUCCGAUGUAACAGCAAGAUCCAAAACCUUGGGCAUCCUCAUGCCCCUCCAAGCUUUCAUCUCAUUCCCAUCACAGUCCCACAUGCAGAUGCCCUUUUCAGGGUCAGAACUGCCGCAAACAAUUCGCUUUGAGUCCGGAAACCAAGCACAUGAGCUGACAGUGAAGCCGUGGUCCCCAAAUGUAUGCUUGCAAGUGCCUGUUUCUACAUCCCACAGCUUGAGAACUUCCAAGUUUCCACAUGUGAGUAACUUUGUAUCGUCCGGGCUCCAAGCCACAAAGGAUACAGGGUUCUGAUGGCUUCUAAGCACGUGUUUCAUUGUCAGCUUAUCAUUAUCCAUGACCUAAGAAAUUCAGCGAGUGGAAAAAAAUCAAGUCAAACACUUCAGAAAAAAAGAAUCUUAGAGAGCAAGACCAAAAUCCAGUACCCGAAAAUUUUAAUAUAAAAUGUACAUAAAUAUUCAAGAUUAUAAUUAUGGUAAUUAUGUGUUCAACAUGAAAACAAGGUCCUCUGCUUAAACUUAGGAUAAUGUCUGGUGUAGAACAUUAAAUCUAGACACCCCAUGGUCGGCAUUAAAAGCCACUUAGAGCCACAUUUCUUAAGAGGGAAGUUUACCGGUGAAAAAAUCAAACAGGCUAAAUCGAAUCAAUAUUAAAGAACAGAACAAAAAGAACACAGCACGAGAAAGAGAACAUCAACAUCUGAUUGAUUUCAUUUCAUUUAUUUCGAGUUUGGGAAAGAGACAUUCAGGAAUUCGUACAAGAAAUUGGUCAUUUCUUGUUUGUUUCAGUUUUUAGAAUAACAACAAACUAGACCUUAUUUGCAAACCCCUCCCGACCAAAUAUAAAAAAGAAAAAGUGGGAAAAGGGAGGCAUUAAGAGUUAAGAUGCACCCCUAAUUGAGCCACUAUGUGUAACUCCUAUGAUGCUAUUCUAAUUUAUCAUAUCUCACUGACAACAUGUUACAACAAAAACAAUAUUCCAAAUCUUCUAGAUGAAGCAGCAGAGACACAUGCAUGCACAUAUUCUUAAAAAAAAAAAAGUGUGUAUCUGUCCAUAUGCAUAAGCAAAAAAGAAUGAAGUUAUACCUUCCAUAUAAUAGCUGUACAGUCACUUGAUGAAGAGGCUAAGUACUCUCCAUUAUUUGAAAAUUGAAUGAACCAAACUUCAUUGCUAUGUUCAGUCAAAAUCUGCAGUCAUAGGAAACAAAAGGGGCUACAAUACACCUUAAACAUUCAUGAUAAACAAGCCACAAUUUAGGCAGUUGAACAAGAAAAUUCAAAAAUUGCAUGUUCCUCCUGUAUAAAUCAGCACAAAGGGAAUGGAACAACUCGUUAAACAUUCUCAUCAUAAGGUGGGAGAAAUCAUCUUGAAGAAAGAUCAUGUAAGCUAUAUAUCAGGUUUUAGACUGAAAAUUUGGAAGAUAUUUUAGUGAAAGGCACACACUGAAGUUAUUAUUUUAAAAAAACUACUGAACAUAAUUUUCUUUAAGCUUUUUACUAAAGGGUGAUUCAACUUUCUAAUUUCAUGGUGUUGCAUAGCUCAAUGGUUUUCAUGCCCUGCCUCCAGCAAGCAUAAUAUGAAAUUCUAGAACUAUAAAAACAUAUUGUGAUGACUCCCUUCAUGUCAGCCAAAGAAAAAUAGCAUGAAUUGAGAGGAAGUUGUACUAAUAAUGUAUUAAAAAAGAUAAGAUCAUCCAUGAACUGACAGGAAAUAUAAACAUAAAAGGAGUUUUUGUUCCGUGAAAGUAUAAGCAAGUUUUACAACAUGAUGAGGGCAAGACUUCUACCACACAAGUCAGCUAUAUAAUUCAUAUUGCAAAAUUAUGUUUUAUUUAGUUUAUCUCUAUUGUUCCUGCAUACCAUAAAAAAAAAAGAACUUUAAAUUUCUUAUUUGGUGCAAAAUGAUAAAUGGAAAUCUGGACAAACUUUUUCCACCGCUCCAAGCCAUUGGCUUCAUUGAAUACAAGCAAAUAUUGUCUUGAUAUGUGGGUUCAAAUUGACAAAGAACAUUCUCAGUAAAAAUAAACAAGUUAUGAAUAACAACAUGGAAAUUCAUCACCACCUCAUAGUUUAUACCAAGAUGAGCGAAUGAAGAUUAAGUAGCAUUAGAUGGAUGCAGGAGGCUGAAAUUACAUCAUUUGAAGGCGGCAAGGCGCUUCAUUUUAGUAUUUAGGAACUUGAACCCUAGCAUUUGUUCCACCAAAUCAGAAGUUUAUUGUGGCAACAUUAUUGAAAAUGUAGAUAGACAGUAAAUAAAAAAAUAGAAAUGCUAAAUGUGAGGAACAAACAAAUGGUUGGUGUUCGAAAACACAAGAUAAAAUGUAGAAAAUAUCAUAUUAAAACUGAAAACAUUGUGUUCAUAAAGGCCUAUGUUCAUUUUAUAAACUAUGAUUUAUCGUAUGAAUAACAGUAUUGACUGCAACAAGAAGCACACCUGAACUGUUUCUGUAGGUAUCUGAUCUCUGCCGCAGCAAUGAUCUUCAUAAAGCAAGACUGCGUCCUGGGAAUUAUGAUAUAUACAUGAAUCAAUUUGAGCUGUUACACUAGUUUCAACUAGAUGUUCCAAACGUCUCUCAGGCAAUACAAUUGGCGGAGGAAGCUGUUUCCCUAGCUCCAUCACUAACCUUUUUCGCAGUUCACUAAUAACAUCUUCAUCUAGCUUACCCAACUCCAUCUCUUUCAAUGCAAGUAUACUAUAAGCUAAUUUAUGAACUGUUUCGUUGCUCAUAUGUAAAGUGGGAACCCGUUUUUGCAAAACUGACAAAGCCAAAGAAUCAUCACCUCGAUUCAAAUACUCCAAAAAACACUGCUUGAACACAAGAAACAAAACUGAAGAUCGUGUAUCAUCCUUCACAUCCUUAAUUUUAUUCAAGGUAUCAAUACAAUCAUCCCAAUCGCCACUAAGGAUUUGCGAUUCCAACAAAUCAAAUUCUAUGGAUUCGUACCUAACACCGGACUCUAUUUCCAAACAAGAAGCAGACUUUUUGUAUCCAAGAGAGUAUAAGCAUUGAAUUAUAACUCUUAAAAAUUCAUGCUUAUUUAUUAAACCUUUAGAGCCUAGCGUGGUAGGCGAAUUCUCCAUCGAGCUGUGUUAAGGGAAACUUUAAACUGUUUGGAUAAACCGUCUUGCCUUCUAAAAUCAAAGAUGCCCAUUUCUUUCACUUGCCAUCAGUUUCCUAUAUCAUAAAUAAAAUCCAAUUAGUCGAAAAAUCAUUCAAGAAAAAUCUCAAAUCCCCAUGACAAAUACAUAAAUAAAUAACACAAUUAUUGUAACAAGGUUGAAGACCUAGAAACCAAAUAGAGGAAACUAUAUAAAGUAAUUCAAAUGUUGAAUUAAUGUUUAUUAUAGAAGAAGAAAUCCAGUUCUGAACAUACGCAAAAUUUGCCAAAGGAAGAAAACUAAAAUCAAGAAGCAAAGAAGCAAAUACUUUCCAAAGCAAUAAGUUGAACUUUCGGAAAAUAAAAAGCUUCCAUAAACAAAAGACAAAGAACCCAAUUUAUUUUCUUUCUUUAUCAAAUCUUACAAAUAAUAACAACAACCAAAUUAAUUAAAAAAGGGGGAAAUCCACAAAUUCAUUCAAUUCAAUAAACCAACUUAAAAAACUACUCAUUGAAUUAACUACCCAAAACCGAAAAAAAUUACAACCCAACAAGAUUAAUAUCAAAAAGAAAAAUAAAAGAAUCAUUAAAUAGUAAUUCAUUCAAUUAAAAGAUCAAUAAAAUGCUAAGUUGUACGUACAGAGAAUGAAUAGUUCCCCAACUGUGACGAAAGCAAUAAGAAGCAAAAAAAAAAAAAACACGAAAUAGAAAAAUGAGGUGAAGGGUGUUAGGGGGGAAAGGGGAGAGGGUUUAGCAGCGGUUAUUUUGAAGGGACUGACGACAGAGAUUUGUUGAAAAAUAAAUAUUAGUACAUAAAUUUUUAUAUUAUGAAAAAAGAAAUGUGGCGAAGAUGAAAGAACGAAGCAAGUGAUUUUUUUUUCCCGAUCUGCUAAAGCGUUGACGUUUUGUAGUGAUUAAACGACGCCGUUGGUAGUGGGGGGUUUUUACCGUUUACUUGUGUGAAUGGAAUUUUGGUCUAACGUCUCUCUUUUAUUUCUUAUUGUUUUUCUUUUUUAAUUAUUUUUUAGUAUAACAACAAAUUCAAUUCAUAAUUUUAAACUCUUUUUUCUUUUACUUAAUUUUCAUUUUUUAUCACUUCAAAAUUUUGGGGACAAAAAAAGUCGUAUUAAUUAUUAAAAUUUUAACCAUAUUAAUGUGACAAUAAUAGUCUAUGUAUAUUUCAUUGUCGAUGUGGGUAAUUUUUAAAAAUCAUUUUUUUAAUUUUAUUGAAUUUUUAAAUAAAUUUAAUAUUUUUAAAUUUUUUAUAAAGUAUAUAUGAAUUAUUAUGUAAAUUUUCAUGUCAUUGAUAUUAAACUUUUAACAAUUUGGUCAACUUUUUCACUGAAGAUUAAAGGAUAGAGUAAUGAAAAAAAAAAUAGGGUUAGACCUAAAAAUUUUGUUUGGAAGGUCAAGGUAAAAUUCUAAAAAAAUUUAGAAAAUUCUAAAAAAAUUUAGACAAACAAAGCUAGAAAUUGUAUUCUAAAAAUACUUAGAUUAUUUAAUUAAUUUUUAAAAAGGCUCAAAUUUACGUAUUUUUUAUUUAUUUGAAUGAUUGAAAGGUAUUGAAUAAAAUAAAUGAUUAAUACUUGACUAUUUUCCCAUUUGAGAAAGGAAGCUAAAAUCUCUGCUUGCCCCUUUCAUCUCUGGGUCAAAGUGACAAAAAUAAUAAAUAUUAGGGUUAAAUUUCUUGUUAUAUCUUAAUUUUAUUAUAUAAGGUUUUUUUUUUCUUUUUGAAAGCAAAGUUUGAAUGUUUUUUAUUUACUUUUUUUUCAUACGAGUAUAACAUCACGAUUUCUCGUCUUUGUUUUUUGAUAUAAUGUUUGAAACUUUACUUAUAAUUCAUCCCUAACCCUUAAAUAAGAGGAUAAUGCGUUUCAAUUAGAGGUGUGCAUGGGCCAGGCCGGGCCGUAAGGUGUUGGGUUAAGUCCCGCAACGAGCGCAACCCUCGUGUUUAGUUGCCACCGUUGAGUUUGGAACCUUGAGCAGACUGCCGGUGAUAAGCCAGAGGAAGGUGAGGAUGACGUCAAGUCAUCAUGCCCCUUAUGCCCUGGGCGACACACGUGCUACAAUGGACGGGACAAAGGGUCGCGAUCCCGCGAGGGUGAGCUAACUCCAAAAACCCGUCCUCAGUUCAGAUUGCAGGCUGCAACUCUAUAACAGCCUAAUUUUCAGUGGUAUCGGAAAUAGAGAUUUAAGAUCACCAAAUCUGACGGGUGAGUUAAAAAAUUAAUAAAUUAAUACCUAUGAGUCAAAUGCGAAUAUAAAAGCAUUUUUGAAUUAGUGAAUUUGGUGAUUUAAAAGAAUUAAUUAGGUAAAUUGGGUCGAGAAUGAGGUAUCGAGACCUCAACUUCAUAAAUCGAGCCAUAAAUAUUUUUAGAAAUAUUUAUGGAGUGUUGGUGAGGUAGUAUUAAAAUUUAGUCAGAAAAUUUUUACGUUUGGGUGGUUAAUUAAAUAAAAAGAACUAAAUUGAAAAGGGUGUAAAAGUUGCUAGAAAGAUUAAAUAGCUCAAUUGUCAAAUGAGGAAGGACCUAAAGUGAAAAUAGUCCUAAAGGAGAUAUUUUGGGCGGCAAUAGCCGAGAAAAAUCAGGAAAUGGAUGAAAUAAGGGCAAAAUUGGAAAAUUGCCAAAAUUGGCUAAAUAAAAAUGGGACUAAAUUGGAAUAUCUAGAAUUCUCUUCAUUUCUCUUCAUAUUCAUCAGCUGAAAAACAGCCAUGGAAGAGGGUUCAAGCUGGUUUUCAUACUCUAGCUUCAUGUAAGUUUAAUUCUUGCUUUCUCCUUGAAAUUUGUAUGUUUUUAUGACUUUUACAACUAGGUCCACUUGUUGAAUUCAUUAGUUUUUGAUUCUAUGAAAGAAAUUGAAAGUUGUUAUGAAUAUGUGCUGGAAGUAUAUGAUGAUUUGGCAUGGAAUUAGAGCUUUAAAUUAUUUAUAUGCUAAUUUUAUUGAAAGAAUUGAAUAGAAAGUAAAUGUUUGGGACCUAAUUGUAAAAGAGUUUGAAGUUAAAGUUUCAUAUGGAAAUUCUGAAUUUCAAUAGUUAUGAAAUAACUUAUAAUGUCUAGAAAAAGUGUUAAUUGAGAAAAUUAUCUUAAUUGAGGGGUUAAUUGAGCAAGGACUGAAUUCUAUGAAUUGUGAAAUUUGAGGCAAAAUGGAAAUAAACAUUUUGCACUAAAACUAUUUUAGACAGCAGCAGUAGUCUAACUUUGAAAAAUCACUAAAAAUUAUAUAAAUCGAAUUAGAGAAUGAAUAAAAUAUGAAAUUAAAUCUUAUUGAGUCUAGUUUCUUAUGAAAGAAAUUAUGUAAGCAAUGGAAUUGUAAAUCAUCAGAUACAAUAACUUUUGUGAGACAAGGUCAGAAUGAUUUCGAGUUCCCCUGUUCUGACUUUGGAAAAUCAUAAAAAAAAUUGGAUAAAAAUAAUUAGGGACUUAAAUUUAUAUUUUUAGAAUCCUGAAUGAGUCUAUUUUCAAGAGAAACAAACGAGGACAUCAUUCGAAUCCUGUACAAGAAGAUAAUUAAUUUUUAGUGAAGAAUGGUCGGAACUGUCAGACAGCAGAACAGGGGAGACUUCAAUGAAUAAACUGUAUUAAUUGACCCAACCAAAAAUUAUGAAAUUUUUAUGGUAAGAAGGUAUAUGAGUCUAGUUUCAGAGAAAAUUAGCGGAUCUUAUUUUGGAGUUCUGUAGCUCAAGAUAAAAAUAAUUUAGUGACUAUGACACAUAUGGACAACUUGAAUAUUCACAUAAGUAGAUAAUGAAAAUUAUGGAUAAUGUUACUUACAAGUGUGUUGUUUAUACUAAGGAUGUGGAUGGAGAGGAGGAGGAGGAAAAAUAUACAUAUAUAUGAAUGACUCGUGUAUAAAUUGAUCACAUGCCCGGUUAUAAUCGAUGAGUGUUGGAUUAGAAAUUAUAUAAUGUUUUAUUUGGAAUAUUUAUUAUGAAAUUAUGAUUAUCGUUAUAAUACAAAAAUUGAACUUGUGAGUUUAUAUGGCUAAAUUUUAGUGAUUAUUUGUUAAUUUUAUGAAUUUUAUGAUGAGUUAUUUCAUAUGUAUUGAUGAUAAAAUCGUGAAUAAUGUAAAAGCAUGAAAAUUGAAUAAAUGAUCAAAUUGAGCAUUUCAGUUCAGUGACAAGAUGAAUUGAAGGAAAAGAACAUGGUUGGACCAUGGAAACAAGUGAUAAGUGAUAGCUUCGGCUACACUUAUCUGAUUAAGGACAAGUGAAAGUGAUAAGUGAUAGCUUCAGCUACACUUAUCUGAUCAAUGGCAAAUGACAACUGAAAAGUGGUAGCUUCAGCUACCUGAUCAGUGAAAAGUGGUAGCUUCGGCUACCUGAUCAGUGAAAAGUGGUAGCUCCGGCUACCUGAUCAGUGAAAAAUGGUAGCACCAGCUACCUGAUCAGUGAAAAGUGGUAGCUCCGGCUACCUGAUCAGUGAAAAAUUGUAGCACCAGCUACCUGAUCAGUGAAUAGUGAAUAGUGGUAGCUUUGGCUACAAAUGACAAGUGACAAGUGACAAGUGAUUUCUGUAUAAGACCAUAUCUGGGAUAUGGCAUCGGUGUGAUAUAUGCUACUGUAUAAGACCAUAUCUGGGAUAUGACAUCAGUGAGAUAUGUGAUUACGUGUAAGACCAUAGUUGGGCUAUGGCAUCAUUAUGCAAAGGUGUGUAAGACCAUAGUUGAACUAUAGCAUAGAAAAAAAAAAACGAAGUACUCAAUUCCGUAAGAUGUUCACUAAUUUGAAGAAGUUUGGUAAGUAUUACAUGGAAUUAUGUGACAUAAGGAAAUACGAGUUGAUGAGACAUGAGCAUAAAACUUGGUUGAUGGAUGAAUUCAUUUGUGAUUAUAUAUUUCUACGCCUUGAGUGUAUUAUCCGUAUGAAUUGGUAUUCCAAAUGAGUUAAUGAGAAAACUUCUAGUAUGAAAUAAUCUGAGUUCGAAAUGAAAUAUCAUGAAAACGUACUUGAAAUACAUUGGUAUGUAUUGUAUAUGCUAUUUUAAUUCAUAAAUGUGAAAAGCAAAUGUAUGUGGAAAUAUAAGAUGAUGAUAUUUGUACAUGGAAUUUAUUGAUGAAUACGUACAUCAAAAUUUAUAUGAUAAAUUUUAGUGAACAUUGAAAUUGGGCUCAAAAAGUGAUUUGGAAAUUUAAAUCGUAAUUGGUAGGAAUAGUUAAUGAAUUGCAUAUUUAUGAAUUGUUACACGUAUUUGUCUGAAAUACGAGGAAGUGAUGGUAAUUGAUGCAUGGAAAUAUGAAACUAUGAUAUAUAUAAAAACAUGGAAUAUGUUUGAUAAAUGUGUUCAUUCAUAAUUAUAGAAUUAUGUACCUCAUGUGUGCUAUUUGCAUAAAGAUGAUAUUUCAAAUACUUUAGUGAAUAAAGCUUAAAUAUGAAAUAGUAUGAGAUCGAAACAAAUUGUUAUGAAAAUGUAUUUAAAUUAUCUGUAAGUGUUUCGUGCUUCUCGGUAAUGCCUCGUACUCUAUUCCGGCGACAGAUACGGGUAGGGGGUGUUACAAACUCGCCUGCAUGAAGCCGGAAUCGCUAGUAAUCGUCGGUCAGCCAUACGGCGGUGAAUUCGUUCCCGGGCCACACCGCCCGUCACACUAUGGGAGCUGGCCAUGCCCGAAGUCGUUACCUUAACCGCAAGGAGGGGGAUGCCGAAGGCAGGGCUAGUGACUGGAGUGAAGUCGUAACAAGGUAGCCGCCCG